rnacentral:lncRNA from 1 species
GACCAACGGAAGAUAUAAUGCAACCUUGUACCCUUUCUCAGCUGAAAGUUGAACAGACUGGUUGUACUUCUCAGUAUAAUAACUGGCUGUUGGAACGACUACUUUGGCCACCUGAGGGAAGAGCGGGAGCCGAUUGAGAGAGCACCAGGUUGAAACUGCUAAAUGUUCAGCUACUGGUUCGUACUUGGAAUAAAGAUCCUUGGCAGCGGGUUCAUAUUUGGUGUAAAGGGUUUUCGCAAGACCUGAGGCAGUUUCAACAACUCCGGCAGUUUUGACUUCUGUCAUAACUGAGCGAGCCGCAACUGGAGCCUUCUGAGCAGUCGAGAAGCCUUGGGUAGACACCUGCCUUAGAACUGCAGGGACAUGACUCUGGACCUUGUUCAUCGACUCAUCUACCUACAAUCAUAAUUGCUAAUCUCUUAAAUUCUCAUUAACAAUGGUGCGGGCCGAAAAUUAUUCAGCUGUCUCAUCUGCAAAUGUUAUUGCAGUCAUUUUUAACAUCUCUCAAUGAAUUCAGAAUGAUUUGAAUGCAGAGAAAAAUAAAUUCUUUAAUAGCCAUUCCAGCAGCAUUCAAUCCCGUGAAUGAGUGGAUUCUUCCUUGAUUACAAUAAUCAAAAAGAAAUUCCAGCACUCAAAUUAUCUAAACAGUCUGAUUAAUCUCUACAUGUAAAGACAAGGGUUAGCCCCAUUAAGGUUCAAAUCCUGAUGCAAAUGGUUCAUUUACAGGCAAAAUUACAGUUACGAAAAUUCUAUAAAAUAAUUAAAAAUAGAAUUAGAAAAUUACCUUGCGAUCGACAAAUUUGAGAAAUUCGACGGGAACGCCGUGGUAUUUGUCAUAGACGGGUCCCACGAAGGUCUUGACGGUGCCCUCGACGGUCUGAAUUCCGGGCUUCAGAGGCCCUGAUUUGUCCUUGGCGUAAUUGUAGAUUUUCGCAGCAAAAAUCACCGCAUGGAACGCCGCAACUUGCACGAAUUCCAAACGCUUCAUCCUCUGCUCUUCGGUCUCAUCCAUCUUAUUAGAAAAAUCAUCCAAAACGACACCUCAAUACAAAUCAUAAAAUUGCAAACAAACAAUAAAUAAAGAAAUAAAAGCCUGGGAGGGAUCAAAUUCUUACAACUUCUGGUUGGGAUUUGGGGUUUGUUUCUGCCAUUACCACAAAUUAGCAGUUCUAAUAUUUGAAAUUUACUAGCUAGGAAUGUAUAAUAUAUAUAAAUACUUAAAAGGGACGUUAUAAACGGCACGUUAUUCCAGAAGAGAGACGGUGAGGUGAGAAAGCGCGUUGCCGAUGAUUCUACGUUGAAACUUCGAGUUUAAGGUAACGUUUACUUGGUGAGGUAGGCAUAGCCCCCUUUUUUGGUGUUUCACUUUCUUUGUUUAGAUAUUCAUUUGUCCUUAUUUGGAGGCCCUGAAUAGUAAUUUUUAUAAGAACGUGUGAUUAAAAAGUAAGAAAAAUUUAGAAUUUAUUUACAUAAUAUUUUAUUGUAUAAAUGUAUGAUUAAAAAUGAUUAUAUAGAAAAAAAUUUGAAAUAAUAAUUGUCAAUAAGAGACUUUGUAAUGAAUGAGGGAGCAUUAUAAUUGGUUCUGAUGCUACCAAAAAAUAUUACCUGAAAGAUCUCGAACUUGAUGAUCGUACUUCGAACUUUGAUGAACACGAACGGUCUUUGAAUACCUACAACAAAGGCAAUGAGAUGUGUGCUCGUCGCCCCUCUGACGCUUAAGUUAGAUAGGGAAUUUAGUGCGUAAGGCUAUAAAUUGGAGAUAAUGAAAAACGUACCUCAAGAAUGAGCACAUGUUGUGUAUUUAUAGGUGUUAAUGAUGGGGUCCUAGAAGGACUUAUUCUUUUGCGGUCCUUAUCUUCGUAGGAUAAGGAGUUAGUGGUUUAUUCCAAGUGUUCAAACAUUGUUUGAGUCGAAGAAGGAGUCUAACAGGGUAAGGGUUGUGGGUCAAAGUAGGAUCAGUGUUCUCAUAGAUCGUAUAGAAGGGCUGACGAGUCGACAUACAUACCCCAACCUCAAAUGCUUGACCUUGUUUUGGUAGUUUUAGGGGAUAUUGAGAUCGGGGUUCAUGAUAAGUGAUUGGGGUUCAUGGACCGAGUUUGGGAUUGACAAGAUCUGGGAUCAUCACUGGCCCCCGUGCAUCGAGGUCAUAGAUUUCCGUCCAAGCCUGAUCUACGAGCGAAGAUGUAGAGGCAUAAAUGUCCAGGUGUCUUUCCACGUGUCGAGCGUUCAAUGGGAUGUUAGAGAGCGAUCUCAGAUGGCCGCCAUGUGUAAUGUCAAAGUGUGACCUUAGAUGCUCGCCACGUGUCUUGGUCCAAGGGUUGAGAUUGCAUGACCGUUGGUAUCCUAUAGUCCCCUAUAAAUACCCCAACUUUCACCCCCCAUUUUUCACUUUUCACUCUCAUCUCUCAGUAAAUCGAGCUCGAGUUCGUGGAUUAGUAGGUUUGUGAGCAACCAUCCACAAAGGUAAGAGUUUGAGCCCUUAAGUUGUUUUAUUUGAUUAUAGUAUAAUGUCGAGUAGUGGUAGUACUGGGUCUAAUAGCAGUGACAGUAGCUAGGUGCCUAGAGACUCGAACUAUAGUGAUAGGCUUGAAGAUGUAGAUACAUCUAUUAUUCCUAUGGCCGUCCCCUUUAAUUCCCAUAUUGACAACCUGAUAUACCCUAAAGAACCGACCAAGUACAAAGAACAUGUGAUUAUUAAAAUAGCUAGAGAGUUCAGGGUCAUGCCAAUUUGUGACAUUAGAACUCCAGGGCCAACUGAGACCGUGUUAGGAGCUCGAGAGGGGGAGAUGACCUUUUUUAAGAACGCUCUUAAGGCCAGGCUUAGGUGGCCUCUUCACCCAUUAUUCAUCCAUUUUCUGACCUCAUACUACCUGUCUCCGGGUCAACUAGCCCCGAACGAUUGGAGGUUAUUAGUGUAUUUCUUCAUACUGUGUAGGUGCCUCGAGGUUGAACCUAGGGUCAACCUACUUCGAAUGGUUUUUGAUUAGAAAUUCUCCCUGGGAUAUAACUGUUUUGUUUAUUUAUCCACAAAGGGGGGGGGGAUUUAGAACUCCUGAGACCUCGAGCUCACUCAGGGGUUGGAAGGAACGCUUCUUUUUUGUGAAGCCUCAAGACGCCGACCAUCCUUUUAGCUCGAAGUGUGAAAUCCCUUAUAAGGAUAGGUUCAACGAAGGUCAAGCCUAUUUCGAGGUUUUAGAGACAGAUAGGUUGAGAUUAGUUAACCACAACCCCUUUACAGACAAGAUCGAUUACUUGCUCGAGGACGACACCCUCGACCUUGCUAACGUGAAAGGCCUCGAGGGUACGAUCUUUCUUUUUAUGUAAUCUUUGCCAUUUCAUGUGUAAGCAUCGAUCUAUAGUUCGAGCUAAUGUCUUUGUCAUUUCUGCUUGCAGAGUUCGAGAUGUCUUUCGAUCCGUUCGCACUCUUGGACAACGUACGUCAAAAAGCAAAGGGCCUGAAGUCAAAAUUCCCGAUGACUGCCCUGUCCAAGGGGAAAAAAGGGGCAGGGGAGGCCGCCUGUCCAACCUUGGUGGACCUGGGGCAGAGCUCGCAAAACCUGACCUGUCCACGGCAGCCAGUCCCUCAACAACAAGCUCGGGCUCGUACUCCUUGCUAUAGGUGGGACCUCCUAGCUGAUGACGACGACCCUAUGCCCACCAAGUCGCUCGAGGAAUACGCUGACUGUGCUCUUAUCCAGGGCAUAGUUGACAAGUAUGAGAAGAGGUCGACAUGAAUGAAGGGGUUCGGACUCUCGAGCUCCAUACACUGAAGGUUUGUUUUUAAUAUGAAUGCUUCUGGUACCCUCGAUAGGUUUUUGCAUUCGUACUAACGUCGGGUUCCAUACCUCUUUUUGUAGACACUAAGCGUAGCUUGGGGUCUGGGGCCUAAGGGCUUGAAUUCCUCAGAUCAUAUAGUGGAGCUCGAAGCUAAGAGCGAUGUUGCGCUUAAGAGGGCCCAAGAGCUUGAAAAGGCCCUGGAGGCGGCCAAGGCGGACUUUAAGAAGGCCAAGGACGAGGUCGAGUUGGCAAGGGACCAAGCUGAGGACGUGAAGCUCGAGCUCAUUCAGUCCCGAAGCUCUUUUGAGGAGGAACUUGCGAAUGCUCGAGCAGAGACCCGGACUUAAGCCGUCGAUGAGUUCAAGACUCUCCUGGGCCAGUACGGGUCUAGCUCGUACUACUAUGGAUUGCGGCUAGCUCGUUCAUUCCUCUGGACCAAGCUCUCCAAGGAUUUGAAGCCCGUGGUUGAGGAGCUAAAGACUGUGAACGAGCUCGCAAAGGACCUCGAGCUCUCUUCUUCUGAGGGCGAUGGGGAUGAUGACGACGACGAUGUUUGGGAUGGUGAUGAGGUCGGGACUGUUGAUCAGGACGAUGUCAAGAUUGUUGAUAUAGAUUAGGUUCCCCCGACCCCGAGAUUUGAUUUUUUGUUCGUGCUGUACAUUGCCCGAUGUGGCCUAUUACUUCUUUUGAUUUUUCAAUGCCAAGUAUAUUGCCCAAAUUGGGCAUUUUGUUAUCAGUUCAUGUGUUUUAUUUUUUGCUAUGAGAUUUUGUGUUCGUGCGUAAACACCAUAAUUUUGAAUUCGAGCUGUUACAAUUGUUAACGUAGAUCUCGUGUGUCGCAACCAACUAGCUAGAUUUUGCCUACCUUAAAAAUACUGAUCGUUGAUACUAUAGAUAGAUAGAUCUUUUUACUUUAAAAAUUGGGUGUUAACUUCUAAGUUCGAGGGUGUUUUGUUAUGUUUGGGGUCAACUAGUUAGCGUACUAGUAUUGGGUACUGAUUUUUUGCUUUGUUUAUAUUGAGGGACGACCAAUUGGUCGCUGAUGAAUUAAGGGAAAGGUCGGGCUUGGUUACAUGAGGGGCAGGUAUAUCAUGCACCCGAUCUCGAUCUCAGAAUUCUUUCUUGAUUGAGCAUUUUGGGAUCGAUGAGGUCGAGCUUAUAUGCUUGACCUGUUGCUAUUUGAGUUCAUGUGUUUGGUCCUAUUGGUUGAGUGUUAGCUGCAUGCGCGGAGCACAGUCUUACGCUAAUUUGUUAAGGUAUUAGCUGCAUGCGCAAAGCACGACCUUACGCUAAUUUGUCAAAGUAUUAGCUGCAUGCGCGGAGCACGGUCUUACGCUAAUUCUGUAAAGGUAUUAGUUGCAUGUGCGGAGCACGGCCUUAUGCUGAUUUUUCAAGGUAUUAGCUGCAUGCGCAGAGUACGACCUUACGCUAAUUUGUCAAGGUAUUAGCUGCAUGUGCGGAGCACGGCCUUAUGCUAAUUUUGUAGGGAAUCAACAUCAUAAAGAAAAUUCCAUGUGUUAUUAAAAGGGCUAAAGCACGAAAAUUAAAAACGAAAUUAAACAAACAUAAAGCGGGCAUGCAAGCCCUAAAAGGGAAAAUUAUAGUUAUAGCUAGUCACUUGUAGUAUAUUUUCAAAUUAUCGACGUUCCAUGGCCUUGGGAGUGGUUUUCUCGAUGUGUCUCUGAGGCUAUAGGCUCCACCUUUAAGUUUUCUUAUGACCUCGAAGGGUCCUCCCAUGUCGGUCCGAGCUUCCCUGGUUGGUGUCUGGCGGCUUCUGUUUUUCUAAGGACAAGAUCGCCAGCUCUGAACCUCCUCGUCUGGACCUUGCUAUUGAAGUGCUUUGCCGUUCUAUUCUGAUAACUUGUAGCCCUAAGUGAGGCUUGCUCCCUUACCUCUUCAAGCAAGUCAAGGUGCUCAGUAGUUUGUCUCUCCCUAUUUGUCUCGAGCUUUCUUAUUGUGGGGAGGCUAAUCUCGAUUGGGAUGGUAGCCCCCAGUCCAAAAGCAAGCAUGAAGGGCGUUUCACCAUUUGCUAUUUUGUGCGAAGUCCUACACACCCAUAGUAUCGAAGGCAGUUCAUCAGGCCAGUCACCUUUGGCAUCCCCUAUCCUUGUUCGGAGGUCCUGCAAUAUGAUUCGAUUAGUUACUUCGACGAGCCCAUUACUUUGCGGGUGUGAUACCGAGGUCAAGCGAUGAUCAAUCCCAUUGCUGGUGCAGAAGUUCCUGAACUGAGGAUUGUCGAAUUGCCUUCUGUUAUCUGUGAUGAGGACUUUUGGUAUUCCAAACCUGCAUAUGACGGACUUCCAUAUGAAUGACCUGAGCUUCGGCUCCGAAAUUGUUGCUAGUGGUUUGGCUUCUACCCACUUUGUGAAAUACUCCACUGCCACAGCUACAAAUUUUAAUUGUCCUCGGGCCAAGGGGAAUAGCCCGAGAUUAUCAAUUCCCCACUGUUUGAAAGGAGCUGAGUAGUGAAUGGAUGUUAGUUCCUUAGCAGGAACAUGUAUGAUGUGGCCAAACUUUUGGCACUUGUCGCACUUCCGGACGUAAUCUAUGGCAUCUUUCUUCAAACUUGGCCAGUAGUAUCCAUACUUUAUCAACUUAUAUGUAAGAGCUCGGGCUCUCUGGUGAUUUCCACAAAUGCCUUCAUGAACUUCAGUCAUUGUUUGAAGAGACUCGGAAGGUUUAAGACAUCUUAGAUAGGAAAGCGUGAAGCUCCUAUGGAACAGGACCUCUUCGAUUAUACAAUAUCUAGCAGCUCUAUACCGAAUGCUUCUGGCAAGCCGAGGGUUUGCAGGUAUGUUGCCAUUACUUAUGUAAUCAACUAUUAGAUCCAUCCAGGAGGGCUCAUGGUCGAUGUCCAUGACACUUGGCUUUUGAGCUAUGCUGGUUCUGCAACCAUCUUGAUGUGCACGGUUCUAUUGAGCCCGUCCACACCCAUGAAGACGAGUCUGGAUAAUGCAUCAGCUUUGGCAUUUUCGGCUUUGGCUACCUUCAGAAUUUCACAACUUAAGAACUGUCUUUGGAGGUCAUGUACUUUUAAACAGUAUAAGCUCAUCUUUUUGUCCUUCCUUUCGAAAGACCCCUCAAUUUGCCCGACAACUAGUUGUAAGUCACUGAAAACUUUGACACGCUCACACUCAAGAUUUUUCACGAGUUCCAGGGCUAUGACAACGGUUUCAUACUCUGCUUCGUUAUUGGUAGCCUCGAAUUCAAAUCUGAGAGCACACUGUAUCUCCAUAGUCUUGUCCGGACUUGUGAUGAUGAUGCCGACCCCCGAGCCCGAGCUAUUGGAUGCUCCAUCAACAAAAAUCUCCCAUGUUUCCAAGGUCGUGCUCGAGCCCUUGUCCAGUGUUUCUGAGGAUCUUGGAGUAAGCUCUGCUAUGAAGUCGGACAGAGCUUGAGCCAUGAUUGCAGGUCGUGGCUUGAACUCUAUGUCAAAUUCACUGAGUUCAAUUGCCCAUUUCAGCAGUCUUUCUGAGACGUCUAGCUUCUGGAGUAUGUGUCUAAGAGGUUGGUUAGGGAGCACAACAAUUGGAUGUGACCGAAAUUACGGCCGUAAUUUGCUGGCAGCUAUUACUAAAGCAAAGGUGAGCUGUUCUGCAAGCGCGUGUCGUGUUUUUGCAUCGAGGAGCACUUUACUUACAUAGUGAACAGGUUGCUGAACUCUUCCUUUUUCCUUUUCCAAGACACUACUUACUGCAUUCUCAGAAACGACCAAAUAUAAUAGCAGCGUGUCACUGGGUUCGGGUUUUGUAAGGACUGGAGGCGUUGAUAAUGUCUGCUUGAGCUCCUGAAAAGCUAAGUUGCAUUCCUCGUUCCAGUUGAACCCUUUAUUUCCCCUAAGUAAUUUGAAAAAGGAGGAACACCUGUCCGCUACUCGGGAAACAAACCUGUUCAGUUCUGCUAUGCGACCUAUCAACUUCUGAAUGUCCCUUUUGCACUUAAAGGCCUCCAUACUUAUCAGAGCUUGGAUUUUAUCAGGAUUUGCCUCUAUUCCUCUGUGCAUGAUCAUAAAACCCAAGAAUUUUUCAGAUGCCACCCCGAACGCACACUUUGCAGGAUUAAGCUUCAUGUUGUACCUCCGUAACGUAGAAAACACUUCCUCUAGAUCAGAAACAUGACUAUUCAACUGUUUGCUCUUAACUACCAUAUCAUCCACAUAUGCUUCGAUCGUUUUCCCAAUUAACUUGGCAAAGAUCUUGUUUACCAGCCUUUGAUAUGUUGCUCCAGCAUUUUUCAGUCCAAAGGGCAUGACCCUAUAGCACUAGAUGGCUGAGUCUGCCAUGAAUGAGGUCUUCUCUUGAUCUUCUUCCGCCAUGAGAAUUUGGUGAUACCCCGAGAAAGCAUCCAAGAAGCUGUACAACAUAUGACCCAACGUGCAGUCUACCAGAUUGUCAAUUCGAGGUAGAGGAUAACUAUCUUUGGGGCAUGCUUUAUUCAGAUCUGUGAAGUCAAUGCAAACUCGCCACUUUCUAUUAGCCUUUUUGACAAGAACUACGUUAGCAAGCCACUCGGGAUAUUGUACUUCUCUAAUGAACUAUGCAUUAACAAGUUUAGCAAUCUCCUCCUUCAUGACUUCUCGUCUUUUUGGUGCAAACUACCUCUUCCUUUGCUUCACGGGUCUUGCUUCUGGGUUUACGUUAAGUCUAUGUAUUGCAGCCUCUGGAUCAAUUCCAGGCAUGUCCUCAACAUUCCAAGCGAAUACAUCAAUGUUGCGGGAGAGACAACUUAGUAGUUCAGACAUGACCGCUGUAUCUAGCCCCGAUCAAUCGUCAAUUUCCUUCUAGGCUCGAUCUCGACCUCUUCCAAUCCUUCCACCGGAGCAAGUCUCCCGUGAUUUUCAUGUUCGAUCUUGAGCUCUGUAACUUGCAUGAUGUCGUUCUUGAUUUUUCGAACUCUAGUCAUUUGUGCAAUCUAGUCAAGCAUGUGUUUAGAAGAAUUUGUAGGAGUUAGUCUAUACGUACAGGAAAUGAAUCCAAAACUGUAAUAGGAAUUUGAAUUUGGUGACCUGGCAGACCACUUUCCAACAAAUUGGACCAAAAUCGGGCUAUGAACAAAAUUGGUUUCACCUAAAAAAAUCCGUGUUAAAAAUAAAAUAGAAUGGUUCAUUUCCCCCAAUUUUCCCCCAAAUCAGUCUCUCUAUCUCUAAUGGUUCAUUUUCCCUAAAUUUCCCAUUUCCCCAAAUCACAGUCUCUCCGUCUUUUGCCAUAAGCUCCCACCCUAAGCAAAUCCGACAGCCGCGUCAUUUUCACUAUCGGUUGGCACAAAUGAAGAGCAUACAUCGCAACGUUUCUUUCCCGUUGUUUUGGCAAAUGCAAAUAUCUCCCACAUGCGAUUUCAGGUCCUCCUUUCACAGUUAUUGUUACGAGUUCAGAAGGUUCGUUUUCUUCAUCCGUAACAUAUAUUUGCUACCUUCAUUUCGAAGGUUUAUUUUAAUUUUUUUUAAUUCCAAAUUUUUAGGAUUUGAAUGGAACAUUAUAAGUUUGAUGUUCAUAUAUGCAAAUGUGUUUGAUCAUAUUUUUGUGGGUUUCUUUUUGUUUCAUUUCUUUGAAUUUGGGGGAAAAAUAAGAAAAAAAAUUUAAUUCUUAGUUUUCUGCUAUGUCUGAAUAAGAAAAAUAAUUAAUUCUUAGCCGGGAUAUAGAACCUUGAUUUAAAGUUGGUUAUGAUUUCUUCAUUAUGUAGUUCAAUUUUGAUAGAGCGUGACUAAGCCAUUUAUCUGUAUUUGAACAAAAGUUGCAAUGUGGGAGUUUGUAAUUCAAUUGCAUUCAUGUUUUUUAGGCAUGAAGUUCAAGCAAUGAUGAUGAAGAGAUGACCCAUGCUACAGCAAGUGCAAAAACAAAGAGUCAAUUGGAAAAUGGCUAGUGUUUUCCUUUGUACGAAGAUAUUUGAUAAUUAGUAUUUCUAUUUUAGCUUCUGCUAAGGUGUCUUGAUGUGUUGUAAGGAAUGUGCAGCCAGUUGCUUAUCGGGAAUUUGUUAUUUCAUUUCGUGUAUAGAUGUUGCUCAUUUGUACUCAAUUAACACAACUUGGAAUGAGAUGGCAGAUAAAAUAUUCAGUACUUCUUCUUCCUCUUUUACAUUUCAUUCAUUCAUUCAUUACAUUUCUGCCAAAUCACAUUUCCUUUCACAUGUGGUUUUAUUUGUUUCUUCAUCAGUUUCCAAUUAGAAUGAGAGGAUGGAACUUCGGAGUUUGUCACGGUUGUAGAAGUAACACUCACUUCUUUGGACAAUGCCGAGAAACGAGACGUCGAUAUAUCAUUGUACAUAACAUUCCGCAAGGGAAAAGGAAUUGCCAAAUGUGAUGGGAAAGGAAAUGGACCGACUUGAACGAGUGAUAUGAGUUACGUUUGUGGUGGAAGUGGUAGAAAGAGUACUAUGAUGUCAAUUUGUAUUUGUUAUAUAGUUUAUUAUAACAUAAGUUUACUAUUUUGCGAAUCAUUGUAAUAUAUUAACAUUAUGGACAUAUUUUUCUAUUACUUUGACAUAUCUUGUUCUAGUUUACAUCUACAUCUAUCUACUUUCAGUUUUUUAUAGUCCAAGGACUGGUCAUUCUAUCAGAUAAAUCCUUUUCGCCUUUAAUAAUUUGUCAUUCCUUCUCCUUGCCCUCCUCUAUGCAUCGAAGUUAGCUUAAAAAUAAUAACUUUGAGGGGAUGUGAUUCCCGACUCUUAUGGAAACAUGUCCAACCUCGUUUGUAAGUCCUUUUUCUUCAUUUCUUUUUUCUCAUCAACUUGACACAUGUCAUAAAAUUUGACUCUAUUUUAGACCUGAAACUUUGUCCAUCAUGUAUUUACUUGUUUGUGGAAUGAAGAGAUGAUAAUAUAUUUGCAUUCAUAAAAUAGUAAUUCAUUUUCAUUCAAGCAGGAAUCUUAAGGAAUUGUAAUUUGCAAGGAAAAUCAGUCCCAAUGUGACUUGAUAUCAAUGCAAGUCUUGUAUUGACGAUGAAAAAAUAAACCUGACCUACUCUGUUCUUGAAUAUAAUUGUUCUCUUCCCGUUACAAAGAUCUUAUAAAAAAUCAACUUACUAGAAACAUACCACUAAAUAGACUUUCUGAAAAUAUCACAACCAUGUAAUGUUGAGAUCUGAUACCAAAUUGUUAAAUUUGAACUCAAAAAGAAAUGUAACUUUAUUGAUGAAAUGGAAUUUAUACAAUUUUGGACACACACCAUACUAAAGGCUCAAGCAACUUAGCCUACCACAAAAUUCACUCAUGCAGCACCUUGUAUCUAUACUUCCUCCACUAAUUCACUCCACUAACACUCUCUCUCCCCUAAGCACACAUAUAUUACAUAUACACAGCCUGUCUAUAACUCCGCUUCUCUCUUUGUAUCCCUGAAUUCUAGCUCUUCUUCUUACUCUCUUCUCACACGCCAGCCUAUGUUUAUAGGUGAUAUAGUCGGUGGCAAUUCCUUCUAGCUUCUUCCAGUACGGUGGUGGCAAGAUAAGGCAACAAGCUUCUGGAUAAUUCUUCUUGUGGCGGUGGAGAUAAAUUUUAUAGAGAUUAUAGAUUAUACUCUAAUGUUGGCAGCUAAGCUUGAGGAAGAUUUUGGAAAGUCGGUGAUGUUUUAUCCAUGUAAGUAACAUUUUGUAUACUGCCAUUAUGAGAUAUUAUAGCACUUAGUCCUAAUACAUGACAAUUUUCUAGUCUUUUGCCGGCUAGUGGCCGAAGAUGGAGAACCGACAGAGGAGAGAGACUGAUUUGGGAGAAAUGAACAUUUUUAUUUAGGUGAAACCGAUUUUGCUCAUAGCUCGAUUUUGGUCUAAUUUGUUGGAAAGUGAUCUGACAUGUCACCAAAUACAAAUUCUUGUAACAGUUCUGUAUUUUAUUUCUUGUAAGUAUAGAUGAACUCAAUUUGUAGAGAAAUUCAUGUCGUUAUACAGUGCACUGUGCUGUAAUUAUUGACUGAAGUAAGUGGAAUGAUCUUUUUCCCACUUUACUAGGGUUGGCGAAAACUUCUUAACUGAAUUGAAUCGAACUGAGCGAUUCUUCUUAAGUUAAAUACCCGAAUUGAAUCGAGAAAUGAUUGGUUCGAUUCGAUUCUCGAUUUUAGAUCAAUAAUCGAAUAAGAAUUGAAUUUUCCUAAUUUUUAAAUUUAUUUAUUUUAAAUAAGCAAAAUUAUUUUAUUUUUUAAAAUAAAUUUGAUAAUUAGUUAAUUUAACUCAAUCCCAAAAAUAUGAUUUUCCUAUUUUUAAUUUUCAAUUCAAGCAUAAUUUAAUUAAAUUAUCUAAAUUUUAUCAAAAUCUAUUAUUCUACCGUUUUAAAGAAAUUGAAUUGAAGUUUGACAGCGCUGCUCUUAAUUAUUGUGAGCUCGCUAUUUUCAUCUUACUGUGAUUUUAACAAUAACAAAUAUGAAGAACUCGACAAAGAGAUGUACAAAAAAUAUAUGAGAUUGAACUGUGUUAUUUUAUAAGAGUUAAGAUUGAAUAUCAUUAGUAGAAUUAAUGUACCUUUAUAAAUAUUAAAAAAAAUUAUAGUACAGAACUUGGGAACUGAAUGGAAUCGAACUGAAUCGAAUGAAACCAAACCAAAACGGUUCCAUAAUUAAAUUUGGACGAUGGUUCUACUUAUGAAAUACCCUAAAAUUCGAGUCCGAUUCAGUUCUAAUGAGUCGGUUCGAUUCUCAUUAAAAUCGAACCGAAUCGAACCAUGCACAACCCUACACUUUACCAUUUAACUCACUCCUCCUUAGAAAAUGACAUUUUUGGAAAUAAACGCAUUUGGAGUCAAUAAUUACUGCAACAAAUGAGAUCCACCUGCCUUUACAAUGGUCAAAAAGUGGAUUAAAAUCUGGACUAAAUGACACGCUAAAUGUAUUUUUGACACUUGAUUUUGGGACUUCUGCUAUUUAUUCCUCAAUUUAUUAUAAAAACUUCAAUUCAAUCUAUGAGAAGGGCUACUACAAGACAUUAAAGGUAUUAUGCCCCGUUUGGUUAUGAUUUUUCAAGCCAAAAAAUUAAUUUUUGACCUUUACUUAAUAUGGUUAGCCGUCAUUUUGACUUCUUCAUCCAUAGGUGGGGCCAACUUUUCUUUAUAACGGUAAAAAAAUUAAUUCUAAAAAUCAGUAUCAAACAGGCCCAUAUAUCUUGCAAGUCUUUAUUUUAGCUUUUUGCAGUUCAAAUGUUCUUUUAAUAGAAAUGGAAUGCAAAAACCCUAGACAUACAAAUGUACAAUGAUGCGGUAAAAAAAUUGGCGUCACUACCUUUUCUUGGUUUUUAUCAAAUAGAGAAGCAUGCAAAUAAUAUCUUUUCUUUGCACCCAAAAUUGAGAAGCAUCCCAAAAUUGUUUUAUACCAAGAUUCGCAAAAGGGACAAAAGCCACAAAAUGCCAUUCUUUAUGCACCAUUAUGUGACCAUGAAAGUCCCAUGACCAUGCUCCUUCCUUCCUUCCCUUUCCCUAAUGCGCCUAUGUCAGCAAGUCUAUGAGAUCUAAUCUCAUGUUGUUCAAUAGUAGCUCAGUGAUAGAAAUGAUAGGCUAUUAAUCGAUUGGACAUAAGUUCGAAUCUUAUUUUUGAUUAUUCUAAAUUAAAGAAUUCAAAAUAAAGGAACCCAAUUUGACCUAAGAUUUGAAAAUUAUCUACAAUAUCUCCGCAUAGGCCUAGGAUAAUCCUUUAAUUCAUAAUGGAGCCACUUACAACUAGACAUGGAUACACACUUGUAGACAGGAUGGUCAAUGAUAACUAACUUGCCCAUGAACUGGAAUUCGCAUUUUCAUUGAUUACUCUAUCCAUGUCUUAUCGAUGAUAGGCAACACAAGAAAGUACAAUAUGAGCAAUACCGCAGAAGCGGCAAAUCAUGCACGAUGAAAUAAACACACGUAAACAUAGACGACAACAAUCAAAACGAAUAUUCAUUCAUACCAGGAACCUAUCUCAGAUGUAACAAAACAAAAUAUUUCAUAACAUUUCCUUGUUUCUCCAUCAUCCACAACAUUCUUAUGAAAAUAUAUCACUGUGUUACCAUGUUAAUAGCAACAAAUGGAAACCGCAUCAAUUUGCUUCAACAGCUCCUCCGGUCAAAACCACAGGCUCGGUUUUAUCAACGCUAAAUGCCUUCGCGAUCUUCUCUGUUGGGACCAACGGUAGAUAUGAUGCAACCUUGUACCCUUUCUCAGCUGAAAGUUGAACAGACUGGUUGUACUUCUCAGUAUAAUAACUGGCUGUUGGAACGACUACUUUGGUCACCUGAGGGAAGAGCGGGAGCCGAUUGAGAGAGCACCAGGUUGAAACUGCUAAAUGCUCAGCUACUGUCAUAACUGAGCGAGCCGCAACCGGAGCCUUCUGAGCAGUCGAGAAGGCUUGGGUAGACAUCUGCUUUAGAACUGCAGGGACAUGACUCUGUACCAUGUUCAUCGACUCAUCUACCUACAAACAUAAUUGCUAAUCUCUUAAAUUCUCAUUAACAAUGGUGCGGGCCGAAAAUUAUUCAUCUGUCUCAUCUGCAAAUGUUAUUGCAGUCAUUUUUAACAUCUCUCAAUGAAUUCAGAAUGAUUUGAAUGCAGAGAAAAAUAAAUUCUUUAAUAGCCAUUCCAGCAGCAUUCAAUCCCGUGAAUGAGUGGAUUCUUCCUUGAUUACAAUAAUCUAAAAGAAAUUCCAGCACUCAAAUUAUCUAAAUAUACGUAAAUUCUCGAGAAUCAUACAAGAACUUUGACUUUAAUAGUCGAAUCGCUCCCUUCAAACCAUUUAAACAGUCUGAUUUUUAUUUUUCUUAACGAAAUGUCAUAAAUUUACCAUUUAAACAGUCUGGUUAAUCUCUACAUGUAAAGACAAGGGUUAGCCCCAUUAAGGUUCAAAUCCUAAUGCAAAUGGUUCAUUUACAGGCAAAAUUACAGUUAUGAAAAUUCUAUAAAAUAAUUAAAAAUAGAAUUAGAAAAUUACCUUGCGAUCGACAAAUUUGAGAAAUUCGACGGGAACGCCGUGGUAUCUGUCAUAGACGGGUCCCACGACGGUCUUGACGGUGCCCUCGACGGUCUGAAUUCCGGGCUUCAGAGGCCCUGAUUUGUCCUUGGUGUAAUUGUAGACUUUCGCAGCAAAAAUCACCGCAUCGAACGCCGCAACUUGCACGAAUUCCAAACGCUUCAUCCUCUGCUCUUUGGUCUCAUCCAUCUUAUCGGAAAAAUCAUCCAAAACGCUACCUCGAUACAAAUCAUAAAAUUGCCAGCAAAUAAACAAGAAAUGAAAGAUUGGGAGGGGUCGAAUUCUUACAACUUCUGGUUGAGAUUUGGGGUUUGUUUCUGCCAUUACCACAAAAUUAGGAGUUCUAAUAUUUGAAAUUGAAUUGAUUCAAGUAAUCUAAUGCAAGAAAUGUAUAAUAUAUAUAAAUACUGAAAAGGGACGCUAUAAACGGCACGUUAUUCCAGAAGACAGACGGUGAGGUGAGAAAGCGCGUUGCUGAUGAAUCUACGUUGAAACUUCGAGUUCUGAAUCUACGUUGAAACUUCGAGUUCUUUGUGUUUCACUUUCCUCCUCCUCCUCCUUUUUUAUUUUUUUUAAUUUUUUUUUUAAUUAUUAUUUUUUUCCUCCUUGAUAUUUAGGUAUCACAACUUACACCAAACUAAAUCCUGGACCUCCAAGAUCCAUGUCCCUAGAAGUGUUUCACUUUCUUUGUUUAGAUAUUCGUUUGUCCUUAUUUGGAGGCCAUGAAUAGUAAUUUUUAUAAGAACGUAUGAUUAAAAAAUAAGAAAAAUUUAGAAUUUAUAUACAUAAUAUUUUAUUGUAUGAAUGUGUGAUUAAAAAUGAUUAUAUAUAAAAAAAAUUAAAAUAAUAAUAGUCAAUCAGGGACUUUGUAACGAAUUAGGGAGCAUUAUUAUUGGUUCUAUAGAAAAUUUUUGUUCAAAAGUCUUGUUAAUCAUUUUCUUUUCGGGGUUAAAAGGCCUCCGUUUAAUUACAUUAAUAUUUAUUCAUUAUCACACUUAUUUUCUUAACAUUUUUCUUCAUCGCAUUCUUAUUUUCAUUAUAAAAAAAAUAUUGUCAUUAAUAAUUAUUUUUAUUCAAAAAUCUUGUUAUGUUUUAAAUGGAUGCCAAAUAUUUAAUUGGAUUUUUGCAUUAUUCUUUGUUUCGUUUAUUUAAAAAUACAAUGGACAAAUGAGUUUUUUACUCUAUCUUGAAAAAAAUUUGAAGGAAAAUCGUAAUAAAGAGCAAUUCGCAUUCCUUUGACAAUAAGAAUGUGACGAAAAAAAUUGAGACAUAAAUGUGACUAUAUAUAAAGAUUGUGAAUCUUUUAUGCAAUCAAAAUAUAUUCUAUUUAUUAGUGUGAAUAUAUUUAGCAGUAUAUAUAUUAAAAGUCAUAAUUACCUUUUACUUGAAAUGACCAAAAUUACCUUCUUUUUCUUAUAAUUUCUUUGUACUAUCCGUCAAGAUUGAUUACAUAAGUGGUUUCUCUUGAAAAUAAAAUAAAAUAAAAACUUAUUUGGGUAUGUAAUGUUAGUUUUCUAUUAAUUUGUCUUUAAAAAACACGUUACUUUUUGUCUAAAUAUAAUAGGAAUGUUGUGAAAUUGGUGAAAAUUGCACCAUUUCUUUUUAAAAUGGAUAUUGUAAACAGGAUCCCGAUUUCAUUCCAAAUAUUCUCAAUUGGUUAACAUUUAAAAAUAUUAACAAGAGCUAAGAUCUUGUGUUUUACUAUCUUAUAUUGACAAAUUCAAUUAAUCUCACUGGUUGUGUAAGAAUACUCAAUCUUGUGUCACUCUAUGACCUCUAAGUAACAACUUUGGACAUAUCACGAUUUUAAAUGUAGUAGGAAUAUAUUUUGACAAAUUAUAUCAGUGGAUACAAAGACAAAUGGACGAGAAAUUGGAAAAAAAAAUAUUUAUCUUCUUAUUUAGAAUGAGUGAGUGUCCUUUUUGUGUACGAGUCUCGAUUUCAUUCCAAAUAUUAUCGAUUAUCUUUGAAAAUAUUUAUAAUAAUUAAAAAGAGUUAGAUAUAGUAUUUCACUAUCUUGAAUUGAUGUAUUUAAUAGAAUUUGAGGCAACGAAUCAAUAAAAUUUGUGGCAAUAAAUUGACAAAUUUAAUAGAAUUUGAGUCGACUACGUUUUAGAAUUCAGAUAAAUGGCAUUUACCAUUUUGAAACAAUAGGAUGCUGUUUUCACCAAUUUCAUGUCCUUUUGUAUUUAUGUCCUCUCAUAUUGCCUCAGAGUUGAUGAAAAUACAUUUGUAUUACAUUAGGACACCAUUCUCGAUCAAAAGUCGUCACUUAAGAGUUUUAUACAAUGACACGCGACUUAGUAUCCUUAUACUAGCAAAGGAGUUACCUCAAGUUCUAUUAAAAUCGUCAAGACAAGAUAAUGAAACACAAGAUCUCAUCUCUCUCUCUCUCGUUUUUGCUAAGUGUGUAAAAGUGCACAAAAACAUGAAAUUGGAGAUUGAAAUUGAGAAGAGCUGAUAGUUGAAGGACCCUGGGUGCAAAUUAUAGAGGGUAUGGUUGAAAUAAAAGUUAAAAUUCAAGGUUCAUAAUGUAUAGAAUCAAAGUUUAGGACUUGGUGUACAAUUUUUGGAAGAUUUAAGUUGCAAAGUGGAGGUGGCAAAGGUUCACGAGUUCCUACGGGCUACCUGGCACUAUCAUAUAAAAAAUCACUUUUACUUUUUCAUAUUUUUAAAAUAAUAAAUCAUAAAAAGAAACUAAACACUUUCUAAUUGUUUUCAAUCAAAUUGAAGUUAAGAAUAAUUUAACUAACGGCUAGAUAAUCAUUCUCGUGGGAACGAUAUCUAAACUCUUAUGCGCACUUUGUUACUUGUUUGAUCUGUAUACUUACGAAAUAUAAAAUCAAUAUCAAUUACUUAGAAUAAGCUUAAAUAUUGAAGCACUCAAUUUUGAGGAGAAUAAUGGCAUGUCUAGAUUGUUGAAAUUGCCGUUUAGACCCAAUCAAAUCAAAUUGGUAAAAGAUAUAAGUGAUUUGAAAGCAUCAUAUAGAUGAACAUCUUGAGAAAGAAAAGAGUUGUAUUUAUGUGUGAUGCGAAUUUCACAAUUCAGAAAGGAAAGAAAUGACCGUUAAGGGUUGAUUGGCAGCAAUUUUUUUUUUUUUUUUUGUCUUUACAACUUUUUCGAGUUUAGAUAAUAAUUGAACGUGACUAUGUGCACACACCAAUCAAACAUUGGAUAAACUCAAUUUGUUUUUGAUAACAUUAUUUGGAGACAUUCGUGAAUUGAUUGUACAAUUUUACGCAUGAAUAUUUUUGACAAGUUAUAUAAUAUUGUUGAUCUUUAUCACAUAUUGCUAGAUUGUGCUAGUAAUAAUCUUGCUCGGGACAAGCAAAAAUUUAAGUUUGGGAGUGUUUGAUAAGUGUGUUUUAAUAUACUUAUUGGAUGCCUAAAUAAGCUUAAUAUGGAUUAAAUGAGCAAAAUUCUAUUCAUAAUUGUUUAAUUAUUGCUUUUAUAGAUUAAGAUUCUAAAUUGGAAGAGAACUAUGCAAAAGGAAGAGAAAAGAGACUAAAAGUGCACAAUAAAUGAAUUUGGGGACCAAAGUGGAUAAGACCUGGAAGUUGAAUGACCUUGAAUAAAAAUUACAAAAGGGUGUGAUUGAAACAAAAGUCAAAAUCCAAGGAUCAAACUGUACAAGACAAAAGUUAAGGGACAUGACGUGUAAUUUUUGGAGGAUUCGAGCUGCAAAAUGAGGGUGGCGAAGGUUCCGUGCGUCUUGGGGCAUCCUGGUUGCCGUAGCCCAAAGGCAUUGUCGGGCUACCUAACACGUGCACGCCGUGUAUUUGGGGGCAGAAUUUUCUUUCCCCAUUUUUGCAACUUCUGAUAUGUUUGGGAAUUUUUAGACUUUUUAGGGCUCGUUUUAAGUAAUUUAAAUAGCAAAAUUUCAGUCAUUAGUCCCGUUCUUCAUUCACUUAAUUUUUCACUCUAAUUUUGGAGGAAAAUGGGACAAGAACCAAGGGCACAAAGGAGGAGAGAAAAAAUUAAGAAAGUAGAGAGAUUUUGGGGGAAAAUUAAUACCAAGCCUUGUUACCUACAAGAAUCUAACCAAAAGAUGCGUUUCAUCUUUAGUAUUGUUUUUCUUUCAUCAUUUUUCUCUAAUUCGUGAUGUAUUUAUAUAAAUCUUCUCUUUUUUAUCAUUUAUACAAAAUGAGCUAGAUUCUUUAUGUUGGAAUUUAUGAUAUAGCGUAACCUAACUUUAUUAAUUUUAAUAUUUACGCUUUAAUGUUAAAGUACUUGUUUUUAUGUGUGUUUAUUAUUUUACUUCAUGCUAUUUAUUUGUUUGAUCAAUAAAUGAUUAAAUUGAGUGAUUGGUGCAAUAUUUAAGAGAAUAUCGUGCAUUUUAGAUCAUGCUGUAAACCCUAUGUUCUUGUAGGAGAUAGAGAUAUAUUUUUAACCUUAGGUGGUCCAUUGAGCUACUUUCACAAAGAGUUUAUACAAUUGAUUGCGUUUUAAUCAACAUAGAGAUAUAUUAAGUUAAACCAAUUGAUUAAGGCUAAUUUCACAUGAUAGAAGUAAUUAGUUAAAAUAGAUAAAUCGGAUCUAACAUGCUUAAUGAUUAAUUUGAUAAUUUACGUGUGGAGAAAUUAAUUAAGUGUCUGUUAAGUGAAAUCAUAAAUUCCAACUACUUUAUCCUUCUAAUUUUUCUUAAUUUUAAAAUUCACCCUUUCUAUUAUUUUUGUAGAGUUUUGGAUUAAUUUCUUUAUUUCAAAAACAACAAUUUUAUUGUGUGUUUCUUAUUAUAAUUAAAUUAACUUCUGUAUAAUCAAGUAAACAUUCCUCAUGGGAUCAACAAUUGCACUCUUUAGUCUACUUUAUUACUUGUACGCGACUUGUAUACUUGCAAUACAUACUAUUUAACAAAUAGUUUUCGAAGAUAAUCGAGGAUGUUUGUAGUGAAAUCAAGACUCCAUACAUAGAAAUGUCUCUUACCAAUUUUAAACGAUAGGUGCCAUUUUCAACCAUAUGCUAAAUUUGUUAAAAAUUUACCAACAUGUAUUCAGUUUCCAUGGAGCAAGAAGUGGUGAUACAAUUUUUUUCCCUUCUACAAAGAGUUGAUUCAAUGUCUACUCUGUGGUGAAAAUACAACUGAAUCUUCACAUUUGCAUUACUUUCUAAAGUCAAAUUGAUUGGUCUUGCUAAUUUUUCUUACUCCAUUAACAUUGUUUGUUGGGAUUAUAUUUCCAAGUAAGAGGAAAGUAGAAUAAACAAAAUAAUAGAAUCAAGAACUUUAAAGAUAAUAAUGCUUAAACAUGUAAUCAUUGUCCUCAAAUAAUAUUUGUCUCUUGUCAAAUUGAAUUUGAUGCUUAAAGGGACUCUUGGCAAAUGGUUUGCAGGAUUUAUCAAGUCUUAAAAAGAAAUAAACACUUAAGCACUAGCGAAAUUCCUAUAAAACUCAAGAACACAAAAGUAGAAUUUUGAAUAUGAAAGAACAGAGCUUUUAAUCUUUCCUCAUGGAAUGAAAUUUGAUCUCAAGCGGUUUUAAUGUGUUUUGUAUUGAUCAUUAACCAUCUAUUUAUAUAUCUUAAUAAAUACUAUACGAAAUGGUGCCAAAAUAUGAUGAAAAGAGACAAUUUUUAAUUUAAAAAGACACCAGGUUCCAAGUUAAAAAACUAGCCAACGUUUUGUUUUUAACCCUAUACAUACGCAUAGUAUGAACUAUAUGUAUGUAUAGUAGAAGCAUUUUUGCUUUUGUUCCAACAAAUAUGAACCAUGCAUAAGCAUGGCGAAAUGGCCCAUGCGUAAGCAUGGGAAAAUAAUUCCCAUUUCUCAUUUUAUCAAUUCCAUUGUUUCCAUUGAAGGCCCAAUAAAUAGCCCACUUAAUUAUUUGAUUUUGACAAAUAUUCAAGAAUCCCUCAUUUGUUCAAAAUAUGUAUCGAUCAUGCAUUCUAAAUGACAAGACUUAUGCACAAGGACUAGACAUCUUUCUAUUUGAAUCUAACCAUAGUGUUAUUGAAACAAAGUAAAGUCGAAAUUAAAGAUAACAUUAAAGCUUUGAACCAACUAUUUUAUGUAACAAUACCGGUAAAAACACACAGAAGUAUAAAGUGUUCUCAAGUUCCUUAACUCGCUUAAUGCUAAUAUGACCUUGCGCUCGUCCUUUUCAACAAACUUUUAGGAGAGAAACUCUAACUCUUAUUUAGGCGACACCACUUGAAGUUUAGCUAGGUGAAGUUCUUCCAGCAUAUUUGUUAUUUUUAGAGAUACUAGUACUCAGUACUGACUUUAUUAAGAGCUUUAAACUCAACAUUCGUUGAAUAAUAACCAGCAUUUUAUAAUUAAAUAGGGUUAUAAUGGAUUUUAUAAUGUUGAAACUAUCCUCAUAUUGAAUGACUUGUUGUUAUCUCUUGAACCCGUAGAUUACUUGUUAAAUAAUGAUAGAUAAGGUUGCCAUCACUGGUGAAUUUUUUAGUUUAAAAGUUUCAACACCAUUCCACUCGAAGUUGAUAUUACUAAAUUUCUAUUUAGAGGUUUAGUUAAAUAAUCCGCUAAGUUUUUUAUUGGAUUAAUAUAAUUUAGGGAAAUUAUUCUACUCUUGAUUAUUUUCCUUACGUAAACAUGUCUUAAACUCACAUGUCUAGAUUUUCCUUUUUAUACCUUGUUGUAGGCUUUUGCUAAUGUGGCUUGAUUAUCACACAUGAUAGACAUCGAAGAUGUAUUCUUAGUCCCAAAGGUAUCUUGUAAAGUAGACUCUUAAGCCAUUCAAUUUCUUUUCUAGUAUCUAAUAGUGCUAAAAAUUCAGACUCAUAGUUGAGUGUUUUAAACACGUCAGUUUCUUUGAUUUCCAAGAAAUAGCACUCUUUCCUAGAGUAAACACUCAUCCUGAAUUAAAUUUACUAUCACUUGUAUUAGAUAUCCAACUAGCAUCGGUAAAUCAUUCUAAUAUAGCCGAAAAAUUUAGUAUAUUAUAGAUUAAGUUCUUGGUUUUCUUUAAAUAUCAAAAACUCUUCCAAUGGCCUUCCAAUCUUCCUUGCUUGCAUUACUAGUAAACCUACUAAGUUUACUAAUUGCAAAUGCUAUAUCCUAUCUUUUGCAUUGAACUGUAUACAUUAGACUUCUUAUAGGACUCGAGCAAUUUCUCUUCCAUCAUUUUUAUAAGUUUUAAACUUAGAUCAGGAAGGGUACUAAAUUACUUUAUGUUCAAAUGUUUGAACUUAUUAAUCACAUUCUCAAUAAAAUUGAUUUACUCAAGAAAAAACACCACUAGUUUUUGUAACUUUGAUACCUAAUAUGGUAUUCACUUGUUCAAGGUCUUUCAUCUUGAACGUGGAUUAUAGAAACUUCUUCGUUUCUUUGAUUCCAUUCAUGUGAUUACUCAUAAUCAACAUGUCAUCAACAUACAAGCAAAUAAGGGUUAUAUAUUCAUCACACAAUUUAGAAUAUAAGCAGUUAUUUAUACUAUUAUUUAUGAAGCCAAAGAAAUUAAUAGCUAAGUUAAAUUCCUCAUGCAAUUUUCUUAAGGCUUGCUUUAAGCUAUAUAAUGAUUUUACUAACUUGAAUAAUUUAUGCUCGUUUCUUCAUAGUGCAAACCCUUCAUGUUGUUCCAUAUAAACAUCCUCAUUGAGAUCCCCAUUUAAGAUGCCAUUUUGACGUCCAUUUGAUGUACAUGCAAAUCAUGCAUAGAAGCUAAUGCUAAUAAUAUCAUAAUCGAUGUUAUUCUAGUUACCAGUGCAUAAGUAUUAAAAUAAUCUAUUCCUUCUAUUUGUUGAUGACCUUUACCUACUAGUCUAGCUUUAAAAGUAUAAGAGAACUAUCAACAUUAUAUUAUCUCCUAAACAUCCAUUUACAUCCAAUAGAUUUGGAUCCGAGUGGUAAAUCGACAAGUUCCCAUGUUUUGUAUGACAUAAUUGAAUCCAUUUCACUUGUAGAACAAAAUGAAUUGCUUUUAUAACAUUCUUCUAAUUUUCCUCUGCUAAUUAAAAGGAAAUAAGUUGAGAGUUUAUUUCAUCCGGUCCUAAAAACUGCUCAAUUCCAGUUUUUUUGCUUUUUUGAGGUUCACUAAAUUCAUAAAUAUCUUUAGAAGAUGUUUCAUCUUGUGUUCUACUAGUGGUUGGGAUCUCUUUAUGAGUUUUCCUUCAUUCAUUAUCCAAAGAUAAUGAAUUUUCAAAGAACUCAACAUCAUUAGAUUCAAUUAUCACAUUGGUUUCCAAAUUUAAUAAUCUAUAUGAUAUGCUAUAUUAACAUAACCAACAAAGGCAUAUUUGAUGCCUCUUGGAUGGGCUUGGUCCUAUUAGGGUUGUGUUCUUAUGAUAUACAAGACAUUCCCACAUUUUGAAGUAUAUAAUAUUUGAUUUUCUUCCUUUCCACAAUUCAUAAGAAGAAACCUUUGUAAAUUUAAAAGGAACCCUAUUUAAUAUUCUACAUGCAACUUCACCCCAUAAAUUAAAUGACAAUUUAGUAUAAGUUAACAUGACAUUUAUCAUUUCAACUAAUGUUUUAUUUUUUUUCUUUCAGCCAAACUAUUUUGUUGGACUAGGUGCAUAACAUUGAUGUACUAUACCUUAUUGUGUUCACAAAAUGAAUUAAAAUCACUAGAAAAAUAUUCAUCUCCUCUAUUACUUUUAGAGUUUUUAUUUUAUUGCUUAAGUGAUUUUAAACUUCAUUUUUAUAUGUUCACAUAUACAAAUUAAUUCACAUAUGUUCGUAUGAAUUAAUUCUAAAAUUUAAGAAGUCUUAUUCACACUUUGAUAUGGCUUCUUUAUCAUUUUAGAUUCUACACAAGUUUUACAUUUAUAUUCAUAACUUUCUUUGUAAGAUAUUAAAUACAGUUUAACAUUCGUUUCAUGAUACUUUACCUAUGUGACAUAAUCUAGCAUGUCAUAAAGUAAAUGAAUUAAUCAAAUAAGAAAACUCGUCAACUUUACAAAGUUGACCAUUCCUUUACUAGAGUAGCAAUUUUCAACAAAUUUUCCAUUUAGGGACGGUACAAGUUUACGAGACUCAUAAACACUUUCUAUGCUCGGGUUUCCUAAGAGAUUACCAUAUACUAAGUUUCUAUUUACAUCUGGAACAUGUAGUACAUUUGUUAAGGUAACGGUCUUGCCGAAAGUGAAAAUAAUCUCUACAUUUUCCCUUUCUAAUCACUUUGGAGUGACCUUCAUUACCCAUUUGAAUCUUUUAAUCUCCAUCCACUUUAUAAUAAGUCUUGAAUAAAGAUUUAUCAUAUGACACGUGUACAAGAGCACAUGUAUCAUACCACCAACUAGGAAUCUUUCGCUUAAUACCACUGAUCUUACUCACAGUAGCCACAAUGUUAUUUUCUUUGAUAGAUUUCCUUCGAAACUAUUUUGUUUUUGGUGUUCACAUUCUUUUGCAUAAUGUCUGGGUUUUCCAUAUACAAAGCAACCAUCGUUGGACUUCUUCUUAAAUUUGUUAGGGUUUUGAGAAGCCUUUAAGGGUUGAUCUUCUCCAUGACAUUGACCUUUGAAAUGCCUUCAUAAGAAUUGUUAUUUUUAUCUCUUAAUCUUGACCCUUUCUCAAUUCAAAUAUGUUUUUGUACUUGUUCCAAAGAGUAAUCUUCGGAACUAUGCAUGAUUUUCUUCUAAUAAGUUUUUGAGAGUUUCACAAUGAUUGCUAUCGCUUUGAAAGAUUUCAGAAUUUCAAUUUUGACUGCCUUGAACUUGUUGAUAAGAACUUGAAAUUCAUGCACUUGGGAAAGAAGAGGAAUAUCUUCAAUGAAUUUAAAAUGAAAAUAUCUUGAUAUGAGAAGCUUCUUUGUACUUUCUUCUUUGUCUUUCUAUUUGUUUUCCAAUGCAUCCCAAAUGUCUUUUGCCAAAGACGUAUUAGUGUAGAGAUCAUACAACCGAACAGAUAAUGCAUUAAAUAUGUAACUGCAACAAAUCAAUUCAUCCUCUUGACGUUUUUAUCUUUUGACUCUUACAUCAUCAGUAUCUCCAUUUGUUGGUUUUGGUAGCGAGGUCAACUCCGGAUCAAGAAUGUAAAAGAUCUUCAACACUGUUAGGAGAAACUUCUACAUAUUGUAAAAUUCGUCCCAUCAAAACGGUCCAAACAAAUGAUGUCUUGAUUCAUCAACUUGAUUGUUACCAUAGUAGUUUCAUUCUCCAUUGCAAAUAUUGUUAGAUAUUGUUGGAAUUAUAUUUCCAAAUAAGAGGAAAUGAGAAGAAAUGAAAUAUCAGAAUCAAGACUUUAAAAAAAAAGUCUUAAACACGUAAUCGUUGUCCUCAAACGAUAUUUGCUCCUUCUUGGAUUGAAUUUGAUGCUUGAAACUCUUGGCAAAUGGUUGGCAGGAUUUAUCAAUCCUUGAAAAGGAAUAAACACUUAAGUAUUAGUGAAAUUCCUUCAAAACUCAAAAACACAAAAUUAGAAUUUUGAAUAUGAAAGAAAAGAGUUUUUAAUCUUUUCUUGUGAGAUGGAAUUUGAUCUCAAGUGGUUUUAAUGUGUUUUGUAAUGAUCAUUAACCACCUAUUUAUAUAUCUCAAUCAAUAUUACACAAAAUGGUGCCAAAACAUGAUGAAAAGAGACAAAUUUUCAUCCAAAAGGACACCAGUUUUCAAGUUGAAAAAUCAAUCAAUAACUUGUUUUUAACCCCAUGCGUACACAUAGUAUAAACAAUGAGUGCGCAUAGUACAAGUAUGUUGCUUCUGUUCCGGUCAAUACAAACCAUGCGUAUGCAUGCAUGACAAAAUCACCAUGUGUACGCAUGGGCAAAUAAUUCUCAUUUUUCAUUUUAUCCAUUCCAUUGUUCCCAUUGAAGGCCCAAUAAUCAGUCCACUUAAUUGCUUGAUUUUGAACAAUAUUUAGCAUAGCUUCCAUUAGUUACUGCAUGGACUUUGUGAAAAUAAUAAUUUACCGUAUAUAUGACCAAGUCCCCAGCUGAUAGGUGCGACUAAUGUUUGAUUGAGUCUCUGUUUCUUUUGGAGUGUUAAUAAUAAAAACAUGAAGAUUAGGCAUCUUAGUAGAUUCUUUGGACAACACGGCAUUUUUGUAUUGUAACUCUUGUUCUUAGCACUGUUUUUCUUUGGGUUGCCCCCCCAAAAAAAAAAAUAAAAUCGCUUUCUAUAAGUUUAUUAUCAUUGGAAGAGUGGAUAAGAAUGUUCACUUACAAUAAAUUUAUAAUACCGACGCUUUUUUGUUGUUUAUCUUAGCCAAUAAUAGCAGUCAGAAGUAACAACAAACUAUACUACGUUAAAUGUGAUCAACUUACUUAGAAACUAUUGCAUUUGAAUCUGUCAGGUUCUAAACAAGCACUUACUUGAAAUCAGAAGAACUGAGAGGAAACUUUUCUUCUGUUAAGGGAAUAUAAUCCCACAUCGGUAAAAUACCGAAAUAAUGACCAAUAUAUAAAGGAUUGAGACACUCCUCUUAAUAAGGUUGACCUUAUUAAGAUGGACCCCAAGUCUUAACAUGGUAUCAGAGCCCAUUAAGCUCCAACGAGCGAUUCGAUCCGAUUAAGUCUCUAAAAAUGAGCACACGGAUUUCAAGAUUGGUCUGCUCAAACGAGCCACCAUCUUGCGGGGGCAUGUUAAGGGAAUAUAAUCCCACAUCGGUAAAAUACCGAAAUAAUGACCAAUAUAUAAAGGAUUGGGACACUCCUCUUAAUAAGGUUGACCUUAUUAAGAUGGACCCCAAGUCUUAACAUCUUCUUGGUCAAUUUUGUGGAAUUAAAUGAAAACACAUCAAUCUUUCAUGGUUAGUUAGCCACCAUACCGUCAAUUCUUUACAGUUGAGAAUAGGUAAUGUGUUUGUUUAUUUUUUCUUAGAAGGCAUUUUGGAUUGUUAAUAUUUUUAAAUUAAAAAAAUUAUUUUAAUUUUGAUAUUGGGAUCAAAGGCUAUUUUCAUAAAUUAAUUUUAUAAAGAGGCCAUCAACCCAGUUCUCACUAAGAGGUUGUUUGGUGAGAAUUAAAAUUAGAUUUUUAGUAGAUUUUGAUACAAGUUUUGGAAAUGUGUGAUUGAAAAGUUGUGGAACUCAUAAAAAAGUAGUUAAUAUUGAUUGUUUAACUUUGACUUAAAUUAAAAUUAGAUUAAAAUCUGAGCUAAACAUGGGCUAAAAUUAAUUUAUAACUUUAAAAAGUAAUAUUUAAACAAAUGAAAAUGAAACUCAAAUAAAAGCAUAGUUGGGCCAUUAGUUUACCCAUUGAAGGGUCUCAAUUUGGCUCACAGGCUCGUAGCUCAACUUGAAAAAAGUUUAAGUCUGCCCAACUUGCAACUCUAUUUUACCGAGCUGAGGCUCGGGCCAUGCCCCAUUUUGGGCUGUUGGCUUGAGCCCAAGCCCGCCAUAGUGCCAUUUCGGCCUAUGAAAAACUAAGCAUUAAAAAAAUUAAAAAUUAAAAGCUUAGCAAGCAAGCCUACAGGCAGCUAGGUUACCCGACUUGGCUCAAUAAAGACCCCAGCCGAAAGUUCGGGUAGAGACUAAAUUUUUUGACAGAGCAAAAACUCAGCUCGGGCCAAAAUAGUUUGAACAAUUUUUACUUGAGCGGAGUUUGAGACUCAAGUUUGGCUCAUGAGUCGACUUGAUUUGAUUCGUUGACAUUCCUAAAUCAUCUAAGAAGUCCAGCCAAUAGUAGGCCAUGUUUGAGUGCAACCUAAAUUGUUUGAAAAUUGUACGUACCUGACCUCCACCUGGUUGCACUAUCACAAGGACCCAAAUAUAACAAUAAUUGUUGUACCCCAACUUGAACCAUGUUCACUUGCCACUUCUGCCACCAGAAUAACCUUCGUUGCUCACCAUCAACAGACUUCAUCGACUAUCGUGACCACUAUCCCAUCUCAUAAAAAGGGCCAAAAAUACUAAUUUCGGUUCAAAUUAAAAUCAUGAUUAAAAAUUUAACAAGAAAAGGGUAAUAGUACUACACUCAACGCUUAACAAAAAAUGGUCCAGCCACUUGUCAAGUGAUUUAUAGUGCAUUGGUUAGAAUGCGACUACGACCCCACUUUUUGUAGCAUUGCUAUUGCGCUAUUAGUACAGCGCUAGAUAAAGGUUACUUUUUACAGCGCUGACAGUAUUUGCAGGAUUAGCGGUUGGGCUUUUGCUCUCAAUAGUAGCUCCAGCGGUACUUUGAUCGCAUUGUGUUGCAUUCACCAAGGUAAAGAAUGCAAGAAUACUUUCAUUGGCCCUUUAUUUUUUUUUUUCACUUUAUUAUUUCAAUUUCGAAUUCAGUCCAAAACGAAAAUCAUAUUUCAAUUCAAAUAAUAAAAUCUAAUUUUUUGUUUCAAUUUUCAUCACCGAAUCUAAUUCAUGAGUUCCAAACUUCAAGCUUAAAAUUAGACUACAAUUCUCUUGCUAACACCAAAUUACAAAUUCAUGAAAUUUGACUUAACAAAACAUGAUAAACAUAUAUGCACAAAAAAACUUCAAAAUUUAAUUCCCACCUCAAUCAACAUUAUGCUGUAAUAUCAUUUGAGAUAAGACUCUAAUGCGAACCCACGUAGCAAUUGAAGCAACGAAACCCACAUGAGAUUGAAUCGAACCCAAGAGAGCCAAAUAAGUAAAAGUUUUUGGAUUUAACCUAAAAAUAAUGAAUCAAGCAACCAAACAAUCGACUACGAUGUAUUUACCUAGGAAUGUCAACGAGCCGAAUUAAGCCGGAUCGCGAGCCGAAACUCGACACUCGGGCUUGGCUCGAGUAAAACAUAGCGGGCUUUUUUUGAGCCCAAGCCGAAUCUAGCCGAGCAAAAGCUCGGCCAGAAAAAUACAACUCGGGUUUUUUUUUUUUUUUGACAAAUUUUUAUCUAAUUUUUAAUGACAUUUUUCAAAAAAAAAAUCACUUUUCAUAAAGUUCAUAUUUCGUCCCAAUUUUUUAAAAUUCAUUUUUAACCAUAUAUUUACAGGAUCAAAUUCUAAUUACAGAUUUUAUCAACUUUUAUAAAGAUUUACUAAAAUUUUAAUUUUUAACCAAAUCAAAUAGGAGUAAAUUAUAUUAUCAAAAAUCUACUUCAAUCAAGCUCUCUCGAUAUAUUAAAAUAGUUAUAGUUGAAUAUUUUUAAAAUGUUUAACCGCGUUACAAAUCAAACUUAAGUUUAAAGAAUUUAAAAAUUACAUCAUUUAUACGAAUUACAAAUUAAAUAAAAGUUACAACUUACAAAAUACGUAAUUUAUAUGAAGAACAAAUUAAUAAAAGUUACAAGUUACAACCCUCAUCUUUUUUUCGGGUUUGGGAUCGGCUACAAUCAAUGUAGGAGGAGUUAAAAUUGAACAUGAAUAAAAUAUUUCGUGUACAAUUUUUCUUGAAACAAAUAAAUUUAAAAAUUACAUUUUUAAAGAAAAAUAAUUAAUUUAAAAACUUGCAACAUCCUAUGUUUGGAUCUGUUGCAACUCUUCGGCCAUUAUACUGUUAACAUGUUCUUGAAUACGUAAUUCCGCACAUUCUCAUUCCUUUAAGCAUAUUAAAGUCUCCAAUAUAUCUUCUUUUAGUCUUGAUCAUUCAUUUGACAAAAUUUGACUACCUAAAUUGAAUGUAACCUCCGAUGCUAUCGUAGACACCGAAGGUGUUAGUAGACCACGUGCAAUUUUUGAUACAAUUGGCUAUUGCCUUUCGUUACACCUCCACCAAUUUAGAAGACUAAAUUCAUGUAAUUCUUUUGGUUGUAACGCACUACGAAUAUUCACGCACAUAUACCUAGCUAGCUUAGAAGGAAUUUCAAAAUUUGUAUCACCAACAUUGAUCGCUCUACAUAUUGAUGAAUUAGAACUAGAACUAAAUGAAGGAACGCUUGUAUUGCUUUCCAAAUAAUUUCAUAAAUUAUCUAAAUUUGUUAAAAUAUUUCUUGAAAAAGAACCUAGAGAAGUAAAACUAACCUGGCCUACCUUUUCAGCAUAAUAAUUAUAUAUUUCACAUAAAAGAUAUUCUAUAUGCACAUGUAAUAAUUCUACAUUCAAAUAAUUUGAUAUCCCCUUAAUAGUGGCUUUUGUGCAAGUUAAGUUAAGUCGAGGGUCCAUUACUGAAGCUAAAAAAAAUAAAGAGGGCAACUCUUCUCAAUAUAUAUGAAAUUUUAACUCCAUAGAACAGACUACAUCAGAAAAAAGUGGCAAAUUCCUAUAUUGUGAAAUGCUUGUGAAAUGUAGAAAAAAAAGUUGUAAAACAAGUGAAUAUGUAGGGUAAUAAACAUCGCUACAUUCCUUUGUAGCAUCGAAAAAAGGUUGUAAGAAUUUUUCAGGUAAAAUGCAAUAGACCAUUCCCAAUCUUCCAAGUGAUGUUCAGGUUCGAGUGUAUGCCUACCAUUAUAAUAUAGUGAAAUCACUUUAUCGUAAUUUUUACACGAAUAUAACAUAAGAUAUGUAGAGUUUCAUCUAUGUGUUACAUCAGUGGUAAAUGAUUUCUCCUAUAAUCCAUACUCUGCACAUAAACUGUUAAAUGCUCACUUUCUUGAUGGUGAUACAGUAAUAAAAUUUAUUGCCUAUCUAAUUUUAUCUAAAGGUAAACUUAUAUGUUCUAAUUCAGGUUUUACAAUCAAAUUGAUAAUAUGACAUGCACAAUGUUGAUGAAAAAAUAAAUUUCCAAAUAUGGGGUUAAGAUCAGUAAUAAAUCUUUCAACAACAACUUUAUUCACCGCAUUAUUAUCAAAAGUAAAGCUUCGAACUAUAUUUUACAUACCAUAUUCCUGUAUGAUAUCUUUUAAAAUCAUGUAUAGGUUAAUAGCAUUAUGGGGAAAAUCUACAUAUCUAAAUGCAAUAAUCCUUUUAUGUAAGAGGCACAGGUGAUCAAUAUAAUGAGUCGUAGCAGCAAUAUAACAUUUUCUAUUACCAUCGGUCCAUAAAUCAAAGGUAAACGAUAUAACAAUUUUAAAACUUUUUAGACCUUCAAUAGCAAUUUAUUUUCUUUUGUUAUAUAAUUUUAUAAUAUCCGAAUGAAUGGUAUUUCAACAAUAAGAAGAAUACUUGGGUUGGAGAUAUUUCUACACGAGCUGGGUAAAGCGUACAGAGUCUAUCAUCGUAAGCGGCAUUAUGGGAAAAAUCUACACAUCUGAAUGUAAUAAUCCUUUUAUGUAAAAGUCACAGGUGAUCAAUAUAAUGAGCCGUAGUAGCAAUAUAACCUUUUUUAUUACCAUCGUUCCAUAAAUUAGAGGUAAACGAUAUAACACUAUUAAAACUUUUUAGACCUUCAAUAGCAAUUUGUUUUCUUUUGUUAUAUAGUUUUAUAAUAUCCGAAUGAAGGGUAUUUUUACAAUAAGAAGAAUACCUGGGUUGGAGAUAUUUCUGCACAAGCCGGGUGAAGCGUACAGAGUUUAUCAUCAUAAGCGGCAUCUCUGCUACAGCUACGUAUGCAGUCAUUCCUUCACGAAAUCUUUCCUGUGAAUAUACAAUUGUGGAAAGAGUAAAACUAAAACUGCCAAACACUAGUUCGGUCUAUUUCGAGUUAAGAUCGACUGGUUUCGCUUUGCAACUCCUUAAUACGUGUCUAUUCAAAUGCGUUGUGCUCGAGCCGGGCUUCCAACAUUCUUUGCCACAAUAAUUGCAAUAUUCUUUCCAAAUAUCUACUCCAUUUUGAACAUCAAUUUUUUUACGUAUCAUAUGUUGUCUACAAUCCGAUGAUUCUUUUUUUGACCUUUUAGUCUCGAGUACUUCUUCCUCUUCAAUAUUCUUCAAAUCAAUUGGAACAUUUUAAUAUGCAUCAUAGUUAGAUGAAGUACUCGAGCUACCACCAAAGUGAUUAACAUAAUCACUUGUAAAAUUCAUUAAUAAAUAGUAAAGUAAAAAAUACUUAAUAUUAAACUUUAGAGUGAAAGAAAUUGAAUAUGCUAUAUGAGAAGUGAGAACGAAGAAAUUAGAAUUGAAACUUGAAUGAUUGUAAUACAGUAAUAAUGUGAAUUAAAAUCGAUAAUAAAUUGAUUUGAAACUUCAAAAUUUACUCUGUAUUUAUAGACAACAAAAUUCGCCUUGUUUUUUCAAAUUUGAAUUUCAAAUUUGCUAGGAGAGGGGCCGAAAGUAGAGCUGCAGAAAGUUUCCUUCUGCAGGCUGCCUAGUGAAAUGGGCAACUAUAGCUGGCUUAAAAAGGCAGCAGGUAUAGCUGCCAACGGGCUGCUAUACCUACUGCCUCUAUUUCUUUUUUUUUUAAUUUAAUUUUUUUAGUUUUCAAACUUUUAAUCUUUUCUCUUUUAUUAGGCUCAGGCCGAGCCGGUAUUGUCAUGGGCCAUUUUUGGCUCGUGACAUGAGCAGGCCCGUGCGGUUCAACUUGGGCUCUGGCCAACGCCUCAUUUUCGAGCUCGGCUAGAGCCUCAGGUCGAUUUCUUCGAGCCAUGAACGGGGCUGGCUCAGGCUGCCCAAGCCAUCGAGCCAUUUUGACACCCCUAUAUUUACCUCUUGAACAUAGGACUUAUGAAUCUCAUCCAGUUGUUUGAACGCCACAAGAAUUAAUCUUGAUAAGUUCAGUAAAUUACUCAAUGAAGAACAAAGGAAUAGAAAACAAAUUUGCCUUUGAAUUAAUCUCUCAAUAAUGUCUAAGUUCUUUACAAUGAAUGGAACGAAAUCUAUUUAUACUAAAUCUUAAAAACUUAGUUAAAAAUGAAAAUAAUCCUAAAAGACUACAUAGGUACCAAAAAAAUAGUGUUUUAACAUAAUUAGGAAACUUUCGCAGAAAAGGAAAAAUUCGCAUCAAAAUAUCACUAUGCAGCUGCAUAGUAUUAAUCUAUGCGAUCGCAUAGACACUGCCCCUGUCCCUGCUCAAUUCUCCUAAAGUGGGCAUGCGGUAAAGUUAUGCGACCACAUAGCUUUCCCGUCUAACCUCCUCGCUCGAAACUUGUAUCGAGUUGAUCCAAUUUGUUUUCGCUCCCGAACCCAAUAUGGAACUUGUUGAUUUGCUCGCCGUGAUCAAUUUUUCAUCCACGUGGCUUAAACAAGAAAUAUAUUCUCUAAACACAGUGCGUAACAAUUAGAUCAUAGUCCUAUUAACUACUUCGAUUUGUCCAUCGGUUUGUGGGUGACAAGUAGUAGAAAACAACAAUUUCUUACCUAACUUAUCCACAAAACCUACCAAAAAUGACUAAGAAAUUUGACAUCCCUAUCCGACACAAUACUCCUAGGAAUCCCAUCUAAAUGCACUACUUUCUUAAAGACUAGAUCUACAAUACUUGUAGCAUCAACAGUUUAUGGUAUGGAAUGAAUUGUGCCAUUUUACUAAAUAUAUCUACCACCAAAAAUAUUGAAUCUCGUUCUUUCUUAGUCCUAGGUAAAGAAAAAAUGAAGUCAAUGGAAAUGUCAACCCAAGGUUCACUAGGAACAGGUAAAGGUGUGUACAAUUCUUGAGGUAAAACUUUAGACUUAGCCUUCUUAUUAGUUAUGCAUCUACUACAAAUCCGUUCUACGUCAAUUUUCAUUUUAGGCCAAUAAAAAUGUUCUCUAACAUCUCUAAAGUCUUCUUGACCCUAAAGUGACCCAUUAGUCUCCCACUGUGCUUCCUUUACCAACAACUCUCGCAUUGAACAAUUAGGAACACAUAGUUUGUUUUUCCGAAAUAAAUAACCCUCACUCUUAAAGAAUUUAUUUGCAGUUCAUUUAUUACAUGAUUUGUAUAUAUCAGAAAAAUCUGGAUCAUUGGCAUAUAUGUCAUUAAUGUAUUCAAAUCCAAGCAAUUUUGUAAUUAAAGAAGUUAAAAGCACAUACCUUCUAGACAACGAUCUGCUACAAUAUUUUUCUUACCUUUUUUGUACUGGACGACAUAAGGAAACGUUUUGAUGAAUUCCAUCCAUCUGGGAUGCCUUUUGUUCAGUUUACAUUGGCCUCACAAAUGCUUUAAUGACUUAUGGUCAGUGUGAAUCACAAACUCCUUUGGCCAUAGGUAGUGCUGCUAUGUCUCCAAAGCUCGAACAAGCGAAUAUAACUCCUUGUCAUAUGUAGGAUAGUUGAGAGCUGCUCCACUUAGCUUUGCACUGAAGUGAGCUAUUGGCCUUCUAUCUUGCAUCAAAACGGCUCCAAUACCCAUCUUGGAAGUAUCGUACUCAAUCUCGAAAGUUUUGUCAAAGUUUGGAAGUGCUAAAAUCGGUGCUUUACACAACCUAUCUUUAAUAGUGUUGAAUGCAUGUUCCUAUUCUACGCCCCAUUAAAAUCCUACACUCUUUUUAAUAAUUUCAGUAAGUUGAAUGACAAUUGUGCUGAAGUCCUUUACAAACCGCCUAUAGAAACUAGCCAAACCAUGAAAACUCCUUGCCUUAGUUACUCUUUUAGAUGUUGACCAUUCCUUAAUAGCCUUGAUUUUUUCUUCAUCUAUCUCUAUCCCCUUUGCACCAACCACAUACCCUAGAAAGACAACUUUUUUCAUGCAAAAUGUACAAUUUUUAAAGCUAGCAUAAAGUUGUUCUUUUCUUAAAACCACAGGAACACUCCUUAGAUAUUCUAUAUACUCAUUAAGGUCCUUACUAUAGAUUAAUAUGUCAUCAAAAUAAAUUACCACAAAUUUGCCGAUAUAUGCAAGCAAAACACGAUUCAUUAGUCGCAUAAAUGUGCUUGGAGCAUUAAUGAGUCCGAACAAAAAACCAAACAUUCAUACAAGCCAUAUUUAGUCUUAGAAGCGAUUUUCCAUUCAUCUCCUUCCAUCAUUCUAAUUUUGUGAUAUCCACUUUUAAGGUCAAUUUUACUAAAUAUGCAUGUGCCAUAUAAUUCGUCCAACAGAUCAUCUACCCUAGGAAUAGAAUGACGAUACUUUACUGUUAUGUUGUUGAUGGCUCUGCAAUCCAUAUACAUUCUCCAAGUUUCGUCUUUCUUUGACACAAGUAGCACUAGCACGACACAUGGACUUAUACUCUCUCUUACAUACCCCUUGCUCAUCAAUUCCUCCACUUGUCUUUGAAGUUCCUUUGUCUCCUAGCAAUUACUUAGGUAAGCUAGUCUGUUUGGGAUGAUAGCUCAAGGUAUGAAGUCAAUUUGAUAUUCAAUGCCUCGGAUAGGUGGUAACCCACUAGGCACGUCCUCUGCGAAUAAAUAUUCAAAUUCCUACAACAAAGAGAUAGCCAAACUAGGGAGUGAUGGGUUAGAUCCUCAAGAUUCAAGAAUGACUCUUUAUAGACCAAUAAAAUUAUUUGUUGCCUCUCCAUUAUUGCCCUCUUCAACUCACUCCCUUUUGUAAAAAAAUUCUCUUUUGACUUUUGUCUCAUUUUGAAAGACUCUUUUUCUUUUCUCUCAUGUGUCUCAACUCUUUUUUCUACCUAUUAGCCACCUCACUAUUUUUUUCUCUUGUUCUCUAAUUCUCUCAUUCUUCUCUCUUCCUCAUUUUUCAAUUUGAUUUGGUCCUUACACACUUAUGCUGGUGUUAAUGGCACAAUGGUAAUAGACUUUCCAUUCUAGACAAUGUUGUACCUAUUUUUGUACUCAUCAUGAAUUACUUUUCUAUCAUAUUGCCAAGGCAUCCCAAGCAAGAUGUGCCCAGCAUGCAUAGGUACUAUGUCACACAUCACCUCGUCAUGAUAUCUACACCAAGCGAAAAAUUUAUCAAGAUUCUCUUAUUGACCUUAACCUCCCACAUUCAUUUAACCAUUGCAAUCUAUAAGGUUUCAGAAGUUUUAGCAAAGUUAGUCCCAAUUUUUCAACGAGAGUAAUGCUAGCCACAUUUGUACAACUAUCACCAUCUAUAAUCAUGCUACAUACCUUAUCAUUAAUGUGGCAUCACGUAUGGAAAAUGUUUUCUCUUUGCUUCUCCAAGUCAUCCACCUUGAUUUUAGCAUCAAGUGCUCUCCUCGUGACCAAGAGCUCUCUAACUUUUUACAAUCACUUGUCCCCUCCAAUUUCGGCAUGUCUGCAUAAUCAUCUUCAAUUUCGCUUACCACUUUUCCAUUGUCCUGCAAAAUCAUUGCCCUUUUGUUUGGGCAUUGAAAAGCAAUGUGUCCUGACCCCAAACACCAAAAAUAUUUGAUGUCUCAACUCUUUGAUGGUUGAGAUUCCACCUUGGGUGUAGUCUUGCUAGCACUUUCUUUUCCCCUCCUUGGUACUUCAGAUUUACCCUUCAAAAUAGCCCCAUCUUCUUUAUUUUUAUCCCACUUCAGCGUCCAAUAAGAAUUAGAACCCAAAGAACCCGAUAGAUACCUUAUUGUCCCUUUCUUCUUCAAUUGCCUUUCCACCUUCAUAGCCAUGUGUAGCAUGUCUUCCAAUUCCGCAUAGUAUUACAACUCCACUACAUUAGCUAUUUCUCUAUUCAAUCCAUUCAAAAACCUAGCCAUUGUGGCUUCCUGAUCCUCUUCCACAUUCACCCUUAUCAUCAACAUCUCCAUCUCCUUAUGAAAAUUCUCUAUGCUCCUAGAACCUUGGUAGAGGCCUUGUAACUUUUUAUGAAGCUCCCUAUAGUAGUGACUAGGCAUGAAUAUCUUUCGUAUGAUAGCCUUUAAUUCCCCCCAUGUGUUAAUCGACCUCCACGAUUUCUCUUCCUUGAUGUCUCCACUUUAUCCCACCAAGUUAUUGCAUAAUUAGUGAAUCCAAGGACUGCAAUUUUUACCUUAUUUUCCUUUGAAUAAUUGUGUUAAUCAAAAACCAAUUCCACCUUUUUCUCUUACUCUAGUAAGCUUCCGGAUCACUCAUACUUUUGAAUGAUGGAAUUGUCAUUUUAAUAUUACCCAUACUUUCAUUCAUUUCAUCUCCAACAAGAUUCCUAUCCAUUCUUUCAAGCCUACCUCCUAUAUUCCUAAUUCUCCAUAUUUCAGCCUCAACUAAUGCCUCUUCAUCUAAGUUGCUGUCGUCAUUAUAUUCUACCCGAUUCUCCACCCAAGGCUCCCACCUACCUUACUUUAUUACAUUGGGUACUCCCCUUCGUAGAUUGGCAAGCACUGAGUCUUGCCUUUCCAUCCAUGCCUCUUGUUGUUCACAAGGGCCAACUUGAUCCUUUGCAUCCGAUAUUUUUGUUCCGACAGUGUGAUGGAGAAUGGAUGCAAGUAAGAGAUGAGCAUUCUCAAUAUUAUGUCACGAAGAGGGCUCAAACCUCCGCGCUCUUGUACACAAGAUUUUAUCCAACCUUUCCCGAACAUCUUCAAACAAUCUUUCAAACUGUCAUAUCACCUCAUUCGUCAUGUUGAUUUGUUUGUUGUUCUGCUUGAGGUUGAAUCUUCUUUUUUAGACAUCCUAAAUUGAAUUUAUUAUAUGCUUCACGUAUGUACUCUUGUGUAUCACUCAAUUUGGCUUUUACCCACUAUUAGUCUCCCCACCUUGCCUUUUUUCACUCAAUAAUUUCGCCCAAGUGCUUCAAAGAGCAAUUUCAAACUCAACCAAGAAUUAUUCUCAUAGAAUUCAAACUAAGAUGUGGGUGAAAAUUGUAACCUUAAAAGACUCAAGGAAGAAAGGAAAUAAUUUUGGCAGUUUGGAAUGAGAACUAUUGUAAUUCAAGAAAGUGAUUCUUGAAUUUUUGUUGGAUCAGACAAAUAAAAUUUUGACUCAACGAAUGAUAGAAUGCCAGGAAUUUUUGAAAUAAAUCAAACAAUAAUAAUAAUUAUUAUUAUUAUUAUUAUUUUGAAUUUUUGAAUUUUUUUGUUUAAAAAUUCAACUACGAAACUAACAAAACAAACGAAAAUUGAUUUGGGUGCUAAAUUAGUCCAAAAACAACUUUUGAAUUUUUUUUUUUUUUUUACUUUUAUGGAUUGAAGACUUAAAAGACGAAGAAAAAGGAGAAAAAGGAAAACAUGACUCAAAAUAAAAAGAAAAGGAUAUAACCUUGAUUUUUGGAGCCUAAGCUCUGAUACCAACUGAUACGAACUCACGUAGCAAUUGAAGCAACGUAACCCACACGAGAUUGACCCAAUGAAGUCAAAUAAAUCAAAGUUUUUAGAUUUAACCUAAAAAUAAUGAAUUAAGCAACCAAACAAUGGCCUACGAUGUAUUGACCUCUUGAUUACAAUAUUUUUGAAUCUCACUUUGUUGUUUGAAGGCCACAAGAAUUAAAUUUGAUAAGUUCAGUAUAUUGCUCAAUGAAGAAUGAAGGAAUAGAAAGUAAAAUUGCCUUUGAAUUUAUCUCUCAAUAAUGUCUAAGUUCUUUACAAUGAAUGGAAUGAAAUCUAUUUAUACUAAACCUUAAAGAAAGAAAAUAAUCCUAAAAGAUUACAAAGAUGCCGAAAAAAUAGUGUUUUAAUAUAAUUAGGAAACUAUCAUGGAAAAGGAAAAAUAUGAGUCAAAAUUUCACUAUGCAGCCACCUAUUAUUAAUCUAUGCUGUCGUAUAGACACCUAUUUGGUCCUGUUAAAUUUUUUGAAAGUUGUAAAGCUAUGCAACAGCAUAGCUUUCAUGUCCGGUAUCCUGGCUCGAAACUUAUAUCGAGUUGAUCCAACUUGUUUCAGCUCCAAAGCCUAGCACGAAAGUUGUUGAUUUGCUCAUCAUGAUCAAUAUUUCAUCUACCGUGGCUUGAACAAGCAAUCCCAUUGCUUCUUUGACUCGCUUCGCUCGCGAUCGAGUCAUCGAUCCUUCUUCGACAGUCAACGGGUUUUUACUUGGACUUGUACUCGUUGCUUGUAUCACAUUAGACUCCACACCUUUGAAGAUCAAUCACGCAAAAGUAAUUUUAUUAUUGACCAUCCUAUGAUUAAAGACUGCAUAAAAAAUUAUGUAUAUUUUGAUAAAUCAAACAAUGAUCAUUAGCUUACUCAAUGUCGCAACACAUACACCUCUAAUGCGAGUUUCAAAAACUUCGACAUUUCAAACAUAAUUAGUGUAAUCCUAUAAUAGUUUUAAGAAACCUUCUUAGUUAGAACCCUUUCGACUAAACUAACAAUACAUUGUAAGUGUUAUUCCAUAGGUCCAAUCAAUUUAGGUUGUAAAUAUUUUUUAUAUGAUUAAUACAUUUUAUUUAUGGAAAGAUUUAUUAUUUAAUUGAAUUACUAUUUUGAUAAAUUAUAGAGUCUGUAGAUUCAAGUCCUGAUAACUUACUAAUCACAAGGAGUUUUGAUAGUGAGAAAAAAAUUACAUAGGAUCGAAUCUUAAAUUAGCUGUGGUCGUAGGUAAUAAUGAGAUAUGAAUAUCGCAAUUAGAGAUAGACUAGCACGUGUAACAUUUCUCACUUAUAAAGUGCGUAGUUGAUUUUAUAAGCUAAAAUAUAGUGACAUUUAAAUGGACGUAUGAAUGUUUUGUUAUGAUGUUUUGUUAUGAGAUUAAAAGAUUAAGAACCCACUGGAGAGAUUUCACAUAGAUAACUAUCUGAGUUUCAGUGAUUAAUCUUUAUCUUUUGAUUUGAGGUCAUCAUAAUACCUUAUUUAGGGACAGUCAUGCUUUGGUGAUAUUGGAUGUUACUUUGUCAAGAAUCGUUAAUACGAAAUCAUUCGAGUAUGUUAAGAAUUAUAUGAAGGUUGUAAAUGAUCAAUAGAGGAUUUAUCACUUUUAGUAUUAAGAGAUUGUGAUUUAUAUUUCAUUUAGUUAAGUUGAAAAUGAAAUCCUUGGUCAAUUUGUACUCAUAAAUGACUUAAAAGAGUUUUUAACUAUAAUGACUUAAGAGUGGGAUGAAAGAUAAAAUCGAUAAUUGAGAUUGAUAUACAUCCAUAUUUCAUAAUUAAUAGAAUCAUAUAGACGAAUGGAUUAUUAUAUUUGUAGCUCCAAAAUCUAUUUCAUAUUUAUUUUAUAAAAAUAUACUCGAGGUGUUACCAAAAAUCUUCUUUAUCUAAUUCAAACGAAAAUUUUCAUAUUAAAUAGAAGUCUUGAAAUGUAUAAUUUCAAAUCAUCAAUUCAAAACUAACAUAGAACGUCAAAAGCUUGAACAUAAAAAAAUAUAUAUUAAACAAUGUGCAUAAAAAUUAACAUAAAGAUGUUCUUCAAAUAAGAUUUUUUUUUUUUUGUGAAGUAUCAUUUCUAGAAAUUUUACUUGGCGACCUCAUAAGCAUCACUCGGUCAAUCUGCCAUGUGUCCACACGAUCCGUUCUAACCUGAAAGUUAUUGUAAGAGUGAAUAUUUUGAAAACACUCAGUAAAAAUACUUGCAUAUUCAUAUUAACGUGGUAAAAAUAUAAAAUAGCAUAACAUACCGACAUUUCUUAGAUUUAGAGCAGUUGGUCGCAAAAUUCAAUAAUUCAAGAAAUUUCUUAUGAAUUCCUAAUCCCGUAGGAUUUAUACAUUCGACCUAACGGUUCAUCCUGUUGGAUUUAACAUAUUCGACCUAAUGGUCCAUUAAUGGCCCAUCACGUAGGAUUUAACAUAGAAAUCGACCCGAAAGCCAUAGAGUAUUUCAUGCCAAAGUCUAUAAAAAUAUCAAGAAAAAAGAAUUUAUCACUUGCACAAAGUAUUCUUACCUUAACUGAUACUCAAAGAAAUCUGAAAACGCAAAUGAUGAAGUUGUGUAAUUUUUUCAACAGUGUACGUGUGAAGUGAAAUUGCAAAGAAUGAAGUUGUGUAAAAUUUUUUAGUGAAAAUAGUAUCCUACUUAUAUAUACAUAAAUGUAACAUCCAAAAACUAAAAUUCCAAAAAACGUCUCAAGUCAAAAUUGUAAAAAUUCAAGGAUUAAAUAGAUCAAUUUAUUGCGUCCAUCAAUCAAUCAAUCAAACAUUAGUGACUUAAAUGUGAAUUCAACAUUUUUCAUUAAUUAAUUUAUUAAUGAAAUUCAAAUUGAUAUUAACAUGGUAACCAUACAUGUUUUGUUUUAAAAUGUUAUUUUUAUAUUAUAUAUAUUUUAAUAAAAAAUUAAAAGAUAACCAUUUUCUUUCUAUUAGAGUAACUCGGACAUAACUAGCUCAAAAUUAAUUUUCCUUGAACCCAAAUUAUAUUAUUUAACAAGAGCUACAAAAUGAUUAUAAUAUUGAUAUAUUUUUAUCAACAUCUAAAAUACUUAAAUAUUCAACACAAUAACUUACAAUAAAAUUCUAAAAAGUGUACGUAAGCAAAUAAAUCAUUUAUGAAAUAAGUGGGUUGAAUAUAACACUUCAACUUUUGAACUUUAUUGUGACGAUAUGGUUGGACAUGGACUAUUUUAUUUGCUAGAUGACCAUUAUUAAAUUUAGCCUAUAUGAAAAUAUAAUUAAAAUUCUGGGUGUUACAGUUUCAUGACAAACUAAUAAGUUUGAUUUUAUUAUAUCACGUGUCAUUUUUCGUCACAUGUAUUAUCUCUCGACACAUUGUUAAAUAUUAAUCUGGGUUGAUGGAUGUUAAUUUUUGAUAAAUUAAAAAGGAUUAUUUUAAUUUAUUGUUUCUGAUUAGAUCAAAAUAAUAAUUCAUGUCGUUAGACAUCUUGAUCUAGAAUGUAAUGGAUUACACACAAAAGAAGAACUAAAAGAUUGAUGUCAUUAAUUAAUUAAUUGACUAGUGUUGGACAUUUGUACAAUUAAUUGAUUGUGUUCAGAUUAAUUAAUUUAUUGACCAAUUUUAAUUAAUUAUAUUAAUAAAAUACUGAUUAGGUUAAAUUUAAAUUGCGGGUCAAGCCUACUUAAACUUCUAUUGAUAAACUGUUAGGAUUUAAGAAAUCACAAUAUACAAUUAUUAUCUUGUUAGCACAAGAAAAGAGACCGUAAUUCUCUCAUUGUUGUUCCCUAUGUCUAUUUUCAUUGGAGGCUGAACAAUUAGAUAGUUAUGGAUUAUAGGGUGUGAUUGUUCUUUGCAGAAUUAACUAAAGUUAUAAUUUUUAUCACAGUUUUUAUCUAAACGCAACAUAGAUCCUUGGUGAGAAUUGAAAUUAUUUCAAAUUUCUUUGUACACAAUUAAGUAAAUUUCCAACACACUUAACAUUUUUUAAGAUGCAAUGAAAUUCAUCAUUUUGGACUAAUAUUUUUCUUUUUAUUAAAAUGGUUAUUCCUUACAUAACAUUUUUAAGAUGCAAUGAAAUGAACCAUUUUCUCUCUUACCAUGACCAUUAUUAUCUCCAUCCAAUUCGAGACGUUCAUUUAUGUGUUGACCUCAAUUUUUGUAAGGGUAACAUGGCCAAUAGGUAAAUGCCCUCGCGUAGAUAUUUUAUUGCAUACGAUAACACACCAUUAGUCACUUGUAGCCUUCUCUGAAGAUGGUGGAGGUGACUGUGAGCACUCCGACAAUGAAGAAAGGAAUAUAUUACGCUGAUUGCAAGACACGAGAAUAAUAUAACAAAAUGUAUUUUUUUAGUGUAUAGAAUUGCACCAGAGUACAAUUGGAAGGCCUAGUGAAGAAUCUUAGAGCCAAAAACAUUAAUUUGGCAAAGAGGCUAGAAACCUUCUUGCACUACGGCGACAAAGUCAAUGCUACGAAGGCUAAGUAGAGCAACUGAGUUGAAAAGAGAGAUGCUAAGAGUAAGCUUGAGAAAGCCAAUGCCUUGGUAGAGUAACUGAAAUAAGUGUUGCAUGAGACAGGGUGUCAAGUAGCCGCCUUGAUGAGGGUCGACUAUGCCAUUGAGCAUCAUCAUCUAGUAGUCAAGGCUUUGAAGACCUCAUAGAAAGAGAAAAAUGAACUCAAGUACUUGGCUUCACAAAUAGCAAAGAUUGAGCAUUUGAAGGUUGAGACAAAGUUUGUUGGCGAAGCUACAGACUACAAUUGCAUAGAUAAUUUCAAGAAGAUCGAGCUUUACAACACAUUCACCAAUUACUGGGCCUCAUAGAACAUUCACUCUUGAGAAGAAUUUGGAAAACCACUAAAGACAGGCCCGAAAUUUAUGCAACCAAUGAGGUUCAACAAGAGUCUCUAAAUGUCGAGAUGAACGAAGAGGAUGAGACGGUGGAGGAUAAGGCCAUUGUGUCGGUAGACCCUUAUGAUCUUUUUUGCUUUCAAUUGUAAUAGCUUCAGCCUCCCUAAUUGUAAAUCAUUUUCUUAUAAAAAUCUUUAUUAUUAUGUCAAGUGUCAUAGCUUUUUCCUUGUUGUAUUGAUCUUUACUUACACACUUCAUACUUCAUUCGCUUUGUAAUGACAAUAAUACUUCAUCACUUAACUAAUGAAUUGUCCUCAAUUGGACCUCAUACUUAGUAAUAACGAAAUAACAAAGCAACCAAGUGUUAACACCUCAGUUGAUGUGAACCCACAUAGUAAUAGUAACCCCCAAAACCUACACAAGAUUGAAUCACAAUCCAAGAAAGCAAAAAUCCCGGUUUGAAACUUGAUCCAAUAAUUUAUUAUAUCAUGGAACCGAAGUUAUAAACGAACUUGAUCCCUUAAUCAUAAAAAUUAUGAAUCUGCCUAUGAAAUUGUUCAACGCCACCAAGAUGAAAAUCCUUGAAAAGUUUGAAAUUGAGUUCAAUGACCAAGAAGAAAGCAACCUUGCAUUGAUUUAACCUCUCAACGAUGAAUUAAUGUUCAAUGAAAAGAAUGAGCCCUAUAUAUAUAGGGAACUUAUAAAAACCCUAUGCAAUUUGAAAAUAAUCUAAAAGUACCUAAAGAAAAGAAUUAUACUGGAAAUAGAUUUCUUGAAAAAAAAAAGCACCCACUUUUACCCCUUGUGGCUACAAGGUAGUAUUGGGUGUGGCUGCUUGGUAGGCCUUGAUUUGUCUCAAGUUGAUUUUGAGUAUUAAGCGUGGCCGCAAGCCUAAUUGCUCCAUGCAGCUGCAUUGUUCGAUGUCAACUCAUCCUUUUCCUUUGCUUGAAUAUUACAACCAUCUCGGAUCCCCUUCCAUGCUCAACAAGAAACUUGGUGUUUUGCUCGUUACAAUUGAAGUAUCAGCCCAUGUAGCUUGAACAAGUAAUCGCAUAGCUUCAUUGGUCUUGUUUGCUUGAGAUCUCAUCAUUGGUCUUUCUUUCACAAUCAACGGAUCUUUACUAGCCUUCCUAUUGUUCUUAUGAUUCACUCUCUCUUCAAAAGGAUUUAUCCUCGAAUCUCAAUCUACAUCAAACAAAGAAAGAUCAGAAACAUUGAAAGUAGCAGAAAUGUUAUACUGACAUAGAAGAUCCAAUUUAUGGGCAUUGUUAUUGAUCUUUUCAAGCACUUGAAAUGGUCUAUCUUUUCUCGAUUACAAUUUUGACAUCCUUUAAGCCAAAAAAUGCUCUAUUUUCAUAGGCACCCAAACCCAAUCACAUGGUUUAAAUGUAACACGCCUCCGUACUUUAUUAGCUUGAGAAGCAUAAUGCUUAUUCUUCUUCUCAAUUUUACACCGCACUUUUUCAUUCAUUAAUAAGUAAAAGAUUAUAUCCAAAGGAGUCAAUGGACUAAACCAUAUACAAUUUCAAAAUAAGUAUAAGAAAUAUUAGAGUGCGUGGCCCUAUUGUAUUUAAACUUUAUAAAUGGCAAGCAAUCCUUUCACCUUUUCAAGUUCAUAUUGACUAUAGUGCGCAAAAGUUGUGACGAUGUCCUAUUAAUUACCUCAAUUUGUCUAUCCGUUUAUUGGUGACAAGUAGUAGAAAAUAAUAGUUUGGUUCCCAACUUACCCCACAAAACCCUCCAAAAAUGACUAAGGAACCUAACAUCUGUAUCAAACAUAAUACUGUUGGGAAUCCCGUGGAGUACCUACUAUUUUCUUAAAAAAUAAGUCAUCUAUAUUUGUAGCAUCAUCUGUUUUAGGAUAAGGAUUGAAGUGUGCCAUCUUACUAAACCUAUCCACAUCAAAUAUAUGGAAUCUCUACAUCUUUUUAAUUUUAGGCAACCCCAACAUCAACUUAAGGUUCAAGCUCACUAAGAACAGGUAAAGAUAUAUACAAACCUUGUGGUAAAACCUUAGACUUAACUUUUUACAUGUAAUACAUCUACUACAAAUGUUAUUAACUUCUAUUUUCAUUUUAGGCCUAUAAAAGCAUUCAUGCAAUAUCUCUAAGGCCUUCUUAAUGCCAAAAUGUGCCAAUUAAACCCCUCACCAUGUGCUUCACGUACUAACAAUUUACACAUAAAACAUUUAGGAACACUUAACCUAUUUUCCUUAAACAAAUAUCUUUCUUGCUUAACAUUCAAACCCAAUCAUCUUUGCACUUAAAGAAGUAAGAAGUACAUAUCUCAUUGAUAAUGCAUUAGCUACAAUGUUCUCUUUACCUUGUUUAUACCGAAUGACAUAGGGAAAUGUCUCGAUAAACUUCAUCCACCUCGCAUGCCUUUUGUUUAAUUUACCUUGGCCCUUUAGAUAUUCCAAUAGCUCUUUGAUCAUGUGGAUUACGAAGUCCUUAGGCCAUAGAUAGUGAUGCAAUGUCUCCAAAGCUCAAACAAGGGCAUAAAGCUCUUUUUUAUAUGUAGGAUAAUUCAAAGUUGUUCCAUUUAACUUUUCACUGAAAUAAGUUAUUGGUCUUCUAUCCUCAGGUAUGCUUUUUAGCAUUGGCCACUCUUUGAUGGCUUUGAUUUAAUCAUCAUCGACUCAAUACCCUUUGUACUAACAACAUAACCAAGAAAAAUAAUUUUUUCCUUGCAAAACGUAUACUUUUUAAAGUUAGCAUAAAGUUGUUCUUGCUUCAAGAUCACAAGCACACACCUCAAAUGCUCAUCUAAGUUCUUACUAUGCACUAGAAUAUCAUCAAAGUAAACUACUACAAAUUUACUGAUAAAGGUACACAAAAUAUGAUUCAUUAAUCUCAUGAAAUUUCUAGGUACAUUAGUAAGUCUAAAUGGCAUAACUAAUCACUCAUAUAAUUAAUAUUUAGUCUUAAAAGUAGUUUUCCAUUAUUUUUCUUCUAUCAUCCUAAUUUGGUGAUAUCCACUUUAAAUAUUUAUUUUACUCAUCCAUACAGUUCAUCAAGUAUAUCAUCUAACCUCGGUAUGGAAUGUUGAUACUUUACCAUUAUGCUGUUGAUUGGGACAGUCAAUGCAUAUUCCUUUUUAGGUACAAUUAGCACUAGUAUGACACGUGGACUCAUGAUUUUCCUCACAUAUCCUUUGCUCAUCAAUUCUUUCAUUUGUCUUUGAAUAUCCUUUGUCUUCUUGAGAUUGCUUCUAUAAGCUGGCGGGUUUGGAAUUAUAGCUCUAGGUAUAAAAUCAAUUUGAUGCUUUGAAUAGGUGAUAACCCACAAGACAUGCCUCCAGGGAACAAAUUUCCAAAUUUAUGCAAUAAAUAAUAGCUAAAUCGGGAAGGGAUUGGUUAAUUUCCUCAAAAUUGAGAUAUGAUUUCUAGCAGACCAGCAAUAUCAAAGCUAGUUUUCCACUAGAGCCCUCUUUAUUUCAAUCACUUUUGCAACAAAAAAAAAAAAAAAAAAGGAAAAAAAUCAGUUUUGAUUUUUCUUUUUUUCUUUGAAGACUCUUUUUCCUCUCUUUUGGCUUCACUUUUUUUCUUUAUUUUCAGCCACUUUACUAUUUUAUCUCUUCUUUGAAGUAUCAAUGUCACUUUCCUUUUGUCUCUUUUUGUUUUUCUUCUCUUGCUUACCUCUCAAUUUCAAAUGAUCCUCACUGACCUGUUUUGUUGUUAAUGGAAAAAAGUAACAAAUUCUCAUCUUAGACAAAGUUGUACUAUUUUUUAUCCAUCAUGUAUUACUUUCAUAUCAUACUGUCAUGACCUCCCUAACAAGAUAUGCGCAACAUGUAUAGGAACUACAUCACACGUUACCUCGUCAUUAUACUUCCCAAUUGUGAGGUUUAUCAUGACUUGCUUAUUAACCCUAACAUUUCCUCAUUCAUUCGACUAUUGCAAGCUAUAGGAUCUAGAAUAUUUUAACAUAGUAAAAGCCAAUUUUUCUACAUUGGUAGUACUAACAACAUUGGUACAACAUUUUCCAUCAAUAACCACACUAUAUACAUUGUUGUUAACAUGGCACCUAGUAUGAAAGAUGCUUUCCCUUUGCUGCUCCAUGUCAUCCACCUUGAUUUAUGAGCUGAGAGCAUGCCUAGUAACAAAUGUUUCACCUAUCACUGUGUACUUUACUCUAUCACCACUACAAGCAUCCUCCAAUUCAGACUUCUUAUCGCUAUCGCUAUCACUAUCACUUACCACUUUCCAAUUAUCACACAAAAUCAUUACCCUUUUGUUUGGGUAUUGAGAAGCAAUGUACCCUGAACCCAAGCAUUUAAAACGGUUGAUAUCCAUAUUCUAGAAGGUUGGGAUUCUGCCUUGGAUUUAUUUUGCUAUCUACUUCCUCUUUUCCUCUUGGUGGUUCAAUCUUAACCCUUGAAAUAACUAUAUUACUUCUAUUACUAUCCCCCUUCAGUUUCUAAGAAUGAUUAGACCUUGAAGAACCAAAAGAAUACCAAGCCGUUCCUUUUCUUUUUAUUUACCUCUCCACCUUUAUAGCCACAUGUAACAUGUCCUCUAACUCCACAUAAUAUUGUAGUUCCACUACUUUGGCUAUCUUCCUUUUCAAGCCAUUCAAAAACCUAGCCAUUGUGGCUUUCUGAUCUUUCUCAACAUCUGCCCUAAUCAUAGCUAUCUUCAUCUCUCUAUGGUAAUCUUCUAUAGUCCUCAAACCUUAGUUAAAGCCCUGUAGUUUUAGAUAAAGAUACCUAUAAUAAUAAUUAAGCACAAACCUCUUCCUUAUGAUGGCCAUUAAUUCAACCCAUAUGUCUAUAGGUCUCUCAUGAUUUCUUCUCUUAUUUGUUACUAAUUGAUCUCACCAGAUGAUUACAUAGUCAAUAAACUUUAUAACUGUUAAUUUCAACUUUUUCUCUUAAGAAUAGUUAUGGCAAUCAAAAAUCAACUCCAACUUCUUUUCCACUCCAAAUAUACCUCCAGAUCGUUUAUAUCUAUGGAUGGAGGAAAUUUCAUCUUAAUGCUACCUAAAUUUUGAUCAACCCUAUCUCUACCAAAGUCUCCAAGGUCUUCUCUAGGCCUCCUUUCACGCCUGUCCCCUCUAUUUCUUAUCCUAACCACUUCGGUCUUUAAUAAUUAAUCAUUUUCAUUUUCAUUCUAAUUACCCAAUUCAUUCUCAUCAUCAAAUUCAACUUUAGAAUCAAGCCUACCUUGUCUUCUAACAUUAGAAAUUCCUCUAGGUUGCCUGGGUUUCAUCAUGAAGGCUUGAUUGUUUCCCUCUCUAGAUAUUGAUUCUUUUUUUUAUCAAACAUCCUAAAAACUAUAAUUUGUAUGUAUCAUCACGUGUUUGACUCAUGUUUCACUCAAAUUUGGUUUUUUCCCUCUAAUAAUCUUAUCUCUCAUGCAUUUUUCCUCUCAAUGCUUUCUUUCAAGUUCUCUAAGGAAUAAUUGAUUGCAAUAAAAAAUUUAUGCCUCUAUAAGUUUCAAACUCAUAAGAACAAGGAAUUUAAAAGGGAUAAUGACUCAAUAAAAAGGACUCAAUCAAGGAAAGAAUGAUAGAACUAAAUGAAAACACAAUAAAAAAUUUCAAGAAAGUGGUUAUUGAAAUCGAUUUAUGCCUUUUCCCCAACAAAAUUGAUACCAAUGGAUGAUUUAGUUAUUGAAUUGAUUUCUCAAAAGAAAUUACACUUCAAGCAUUUUUAAGAAAGUAAUUUUUGAAAUUGAAUAAGCUUCUUUUUGGUUUGAAUUUAUUUUUAAAAAUUUUUUUGCUAGAAUUUUUUUCUAGAAUUUUUGAUGUUUUUACACAAAAUAUGCGAAAAAUCAACAAAGGAAAGAAAUAUCGAAAAAAAACUUGUAAUGGUGCAUUGAAUUUAAUGCACUAAACAAUCCUUGAAUGUUCUUAGUAUUUGCUUCGACAUGUAAAAGACUCAAGAAUAUGACAAAGACUCAAUGAAGAAAAUGAAGACUUAAUGAAGAAGGUAGGAAUUAGGAAAAAAAUGCGGAAGGAUAAAGAUAUAGCCUUGAUUUUAGUGUCAAAACUCUGAUACCAAAUGUUGUGAAUCAACGUAGCAAUAAUAACUCUAGAAUCCACACAAGAUUGAAUCAUAACCCCAAGAAAGCUAAAAAUUUAUGUCGAGUUUUAUUCCUUGCAACAGCAAGGUAGUAAUAAUAGCUGUAGAACCCACAUCAUUUCAACUCUAAUACCAAAUGAUGUGAAUCAACGUAGCAAUAAUAACUCUAGAACCAACACAAGAUUGAAUCAUAACCCCAAGAAAGCUAAAAAAUAUGUCAAGUUUUACCCCUUGCAAUAGCAAGGUAGUAUUGUGUGUGGCAGCAUGGUAGGCUUUUAUUUGUCUUGACUUGAUUUUGUGUGUUGAGUGUGGUCACAAGCUUAGUUACUCUAUUCGAUCGCAUGGUUCAAUGUCAUCUCCUCAUUUUCCUUUGCUUGAGUCAAUUGCACUCAUCUUGGUUCCUCUUCCAUGCCCAACAUAAAACUUGAUAUUUUGCUCAUUGUAAUCAAAGUCUCCACCCACAUAGCUUGAACAAGUGAUCUCAUGGCUUUCUUGAUCUUGUUUGCUCGCGAUUUCGUCAUUGGUCUUUCUUCCACAAUCAAUGAAUCCUUGCUAGCCUUCGUCAUAUGGUUCUCAUCAUUAGUUAACAUGGCUUUGUUGUCUCGAAUGAGAUGUUCAUGUAAGUCUGACACCUCAGAUAAUGAGAGGCUUUGAUCUUCAUUAAUUAAAACAUUAUAUUGCUUUUCAACAUUCGAGGUGAGUUUAUCUUUAGUUUCAUACUUGAUGGUAUUGUUAAUACUAACCUUAUCAUUUGGAGUAGAUACCAUUGUAAGAGGCUGACAGGCCAUCAAGUGCUUUCUAUAUUGUGGAUGGAUUAUCCUUGGAGAGCAUCAUCUUCAAAAGAAUUAAAGGUGACAUCCUUAUCAGAGUAUCGCACACCUUGUCUUUUGAAGCGAACAACCAUACAAGAUGUUCGUAGGCCUCAACAAGGGUUUCUUCCAUGGUAGAUGGUUUAUCCAUAAAGAGCAUUAUCUUUAAAGGAAUCAAAGAUAACCCCUUGUGGAAGUAUCACGCACCUCGACAUUUGAAGCAGACAUCCUUACAAGAGGCUGACAUGCCUCGUAAGGGUUCUCUCCAUGGUAGAUGGUUCAUCCAUGAAGAGCAUCAUUUUCGAAUGAAUCUAAAGGUAAUCCCUUGUAGAUGUAUCACACAUUCAUUCCAAGCAUAUAUCCUUGCGAAAGGCUAAUGAGCCAAUUAAGGGCUUUCUCCCUUGUAGAUAGUUCAUCCAUAGACAGUAUCAUCUUCGAAGGAGUCACAGGUGACUCCUUUGUGAGAGUAUCAAGAACCUCAUCGUCCAAAGUGGACAUUUUGCAAAAGGCUGAUGCGUCUCGUCAAGAACUCCUUCCAUGGUGGAUGGUUCAUCUAUAGACAACAUUUUUCGAAGGAUUCAGAGGUAAAAUAAGUAAUGAAAUUCAUUUUAUUGAAUAAAACACAUUUACACCGAGAAAGAUCAUUUGGCAAAAUGAUGAAGAUUGCGCACUGUUAAUAUCUUCUGAGUUGCUUAAUGUUUAAUGGGUAAUGUUGUGCUUUCCCAUUCAGGUCUUUGAUCUUGUAAGUACAAAGUCGUAGCUCCUCGUUGAUGUAGUAAGGACCAUCCCAAUUAGGGUCCAAUGUGCCUAUACCUGGCCCUUUAGAGGAUGGGAAGACUCUCCUGAGGACAAUUUCAUCGAUGUGAAAUGACCUCUCAUUUACUUGGCAUUGUAGUAGCGGGUCAUUUUUCGUUGCCAUACAACAAACUUUAAUUAUGAUUCAUCUCUCUUUUCUUCAAGAAAAUCAAGCUCAUACCAUCUCAGCUCAUCAUAAGAUAUUUUAUUGAAGUGUAAGCAGCAAGACAACCUUACCUCUAUAAGACUUAUAGCUUCGGCCCAUAGGCCACGGAGAACGGAGUUUCUCUAGUAGCAGUUCGGCUAAUGGUGCGUAUAGCUUAUAGAACUUAGAAAAUCUUGUCAAUUCAUGUACCUCUGGAGGCAUGAAGCUUCCUUCCAGGGUAUACUCAACAGAUGAUCUUCUGGAAGUUUAUAUGGAGAUAUGAAAGGGUGUUUUGGUUUUGUGAGGGUUGAUGUUUUUAUUCAAAGAACCAUGAGAAUCAAAGAUGAAAAAGAUGAAUUUAUUGUUGGUUCUUGAUCCUUUGGAAGUUGAGAGGAAUUGUUGUUUUAAUGUUUGCCAACUUUCCCUUAGAAAAUCGGACAUUUUUGUUUAUAUAUUAGGUCGAAUUUGGUAAUAUAGGGCGUUAAAAAUUCGCGAGGCAUUAAAAUUACCAAUGGCCAGAUAACAUGGUCGCUCGAGCGAGGUCCUGGCAAAACUCGAGCGACGUACCUUCGCUCAAGCGAUAGACCAGCGAAACUCCAGCGAGGUCAGUUCUGCAAUUUUGGCUCUAGCAAGGUCAGGGCGAAACUCUAGCGACAUCAACCCGCCGUUUGCAUCUUCAAAGCAUCCCACUUUACCCUAGACCUAUGCUAUGACCUGUACUAAAUUGCAACUUUAGUCCCUGAACUAUUUGACCUGGACAAUUUAGUCCUUGACUUUACAAUUUUGACAAAUAGGUCCUUUGGUCACAGAUUGCCAAUUACACAUUUUCCUAACAGAAGGAAAGCACGAUUUAUGGAGCAUGUUCAAUUAUAUAGUAAUAUAUUUAACUUAGUAUACAUUUAUCUAAAUUAGAAAGUUAAGUUAUUAUAAAUUUAUUUUCUUAGAUGGUUAAUAGGCCCUCUCAAUUGGUUAGAGACAAGAUUCGAAGACAUGAGAUAUUCUUGAGAUUGCAUAAGACAUAUAUGAGAAACCUAAAUCACAAAGGGACGGAAAGAAAUAGAAUUGAUUUCCAUAGAGAUGAGAUUGUCUAUCAUUACUAUAGGACACUUAAUACUUACUGGAGGCAUCUCAUUGAGAGACUAGACCAAAUGUUCGAGUAUUAGACCUUUCUUGUCAUAUUCAUUCCAUGUUUGAACGUCAGUGGAAGAUUAACGUUCAGGACACUAGGAGUCUUGACAGGAUAUGAGCUUGAUCAUUGCUGCGCACGUUGCCCACCUAGAAUUGACAACUAUGUAAGAAUACUGAUAGUUGACACAAUAUGGGUAACAUUAUUGGGAAAGUGGUAGAGAAAGGUCCCUAUAAAACCUUGAGAAGAGCCUGAAGUACUAGGUUUGGACAUGGUUGGAGUUGAGUCGAUUUUUAGCUUAACCUGAAAUCAACUUGGUCGAUUUAGGUAAAUUCCAAUCAAAAUCUAUCCAAUCCCAUAGUUGAAAUCGAACCAAACAAAACUAAAUCAGUUUAGGUUAAUUUGGUUUGGUUUGUCGGUUUUGACGUUGGUCCGAGUGAAAAAUUUACCUACUUAUUUUGGGUUAAAAAAUUUAUUUGCCAAUACAUAUAUAUAUAUUUUUGCUUGCGUAGUACAUAUCAUUGAUAUAUAUAAUCCAAAAUAUUAAAGGGUCAAUUUUUACAUUUGGAAUUUGGAGUUUAUGACAAACAAUUCUUUUCCUUGCUUUUCUUUUCUUUUGGAAUUCGGAGUUUUGAUUGAAGCAGCAAAAACAAAACAAAUUAUUUGAGAAAUAAUUAUAUUUGUGUUUUUAUUAUUUUAUUUUUUAAGUUUAAAAAUACGAAUUUUUGAAAAAUGAAAAAUUUUAUUAGUGGGCUGAUUGUGGUUUUUUACACAAUCAACUUGAUCCAACUUUUUAAUGGUUAAAAUUAAUCGAAUCAAAUCGAAUUUUUGGUUAAAAUCGAUCCAAACUAAUUCGACUUGGUUUGGUUUGGUUGGUUUUUCGAUUUUUUUGCCCACGCCUAUGGAGUACCAUCCCACACCAUAUUUUGAGAGGACCCUCGAGCUAAACUUUAGGGAAAAUCAAGGAGCGGGCCAAGAUGAGUGCGUCGAGAAAAGACAAUAGGAUGGAAUGAAAUCCAUUUUGUUUACAAAAGAUAUUAAGAUUGGAUUAAAUGAAAUAUGCUAUUUUUAUUUCUUCAUUCUUAAUGUUUUGGUUUAUUAAUUUUAUGUUUAUACUUUAUUCAGAGCUAAAACCCGCUCUAGAAAUUUGAACAAUAAGAACGGUCAACCACAUGUCAAAGCAAUCGAAGCGAACAAAAAAAGCCCCCCGGGGCAUAGCCUAGUGGUGCAAAGGACAUAAGUGAUGUUAUCUCAUGCCUUGCUGGCAGUCACAGUGUGGAGGUUUGAUUCUUGAUACAUGGAAUUGGGCUUCUUGUAGGCGCAGUGUACAUGCAGCUCUUGUUCCCUGGCCUGCUGGGACAAAUCCUGCGAUUUACUUCCCUCACAAAGUUCUAGGGGCAGGACGGUGGGGCCCUCAAGGUUGGGGUUCAACCUUUUUUUAAUCGAAUCGAACAAAAAAACAACAACCACCUGCCACAUCACUAGUUGCACUACCACAUGCAGAAAAAAGUGUGGUUAUAGUGGUGGAGCGAUUUUGUAAGUUGAAACCAUUUAGUUUUAAGAGGGGUACAAAUUCACUAGCUGAAGAAGAGUGGAUAGGAAAAGUAUAAUGAAUUUUUGAACACAUUGAGUGUCCAAAAACUCGAAAGGUGAUCUGUGCAACGUUUAAGUUCGAAAAAAAGUACGCUAUUGGUGGGAAAUGACUAACAGAUGUAGGAUACCUGGGCAAAUCUACAAUUGGAAUGAAUUCAGAGAAUUAUUCCUUCAAAAGUUUUUCGUUGCAAAAAUAUUUGAAACCAAUGAAAGCAGAGAUUCUAGUGGUCAAGUAGGGAAAUCUGACUUUGACAAAGUAUGAAAGAAAGCUUGAAGAAUUAUCUCUUUCUACCUCACUCUUAGUCAUUACGAAGGAAAAGAAGGCAAGACGCUUUGAGCAAUGUUUGCAUGAUGACCUAACAAGCAGUGGUCAUCCUUGAGUUAGGCACAUACAACCAAGUGCUAGCAAAGGCAUAACUAGCCAAUUUUAGAGAAAAUCCUACCAGUGUUAGCAAACAACAGCUUGUACCAUCGCAAAAGCAUAAAUGGAAGGAAGCAAGGGAAAAAUGAAAGUAGAACUUUGCAAAAAGGGGCAAAUAGGGACCAAUUUCGAGCAAUUAUUAUGAACUUCCAAUUUGUGGCAAGUGCGAGAAGUGCCAUGCUAAAGUGUGCCUUAUGGGGAUAACAUGCUACAACAAUGAGAUAGGUUACAUAGCAAAGAUUUAUCCUAAGAAACAGAAACAAAAGUAAGUAGCAACAACAAAAACUAAGGAAUUCGCUAAAGAGCAAGUCAAAGUUUAUUCCCUUACUGAACGUAAAGAGGAUCAAGGUCAAAAUGUUAUGGUAGAUAACAUCCUCAUAUUCAAUCCACCUACUUAGGCUUUCAUAGAUUCUGGCUCAACACACUCUUUUGUAUUUUUAAAUUUUAUAUGUACACUGAAUGUAAGUAGUGAACUUACAAAUAUACCCUUAGAGGUCACCAUCUCUUUAGGAGAUGUACUUAGCACAAAUCACUCUUAUUUCGAAACAAAUAUUUGCUUGAAAGGCUAUUUUGUCUUAUUUUGAUUUUGAAAUAAUAUAUAUAAAAGGAAAAUCAAACAUUCUUGCAUACUUUCUCAUAAGAGAGUUCAUACAAAAAAGAGAGAGUUGUGAAAAUAUUCAAAAAGGAGAGUAAAUGAUUUGGGAAGAUAUUUUAUCAAGAAAAGAGAGUGAGAGUCAAAGAAAAAUAAGAAUUCAAUGGCUUCCUCUAAAGCUCCAUUUGAAAAGAAAAAUAGUCAAAAAAAGGAUUACUAUUCCUUUAUUUUUAGCCCUUGUUUGAGCCCCAUUUUUGUAAAAAAAAAUGAAUUUUUGAAUAGUGUAUUGAUGGGAAAUGUGUGGUUAAAAAAUAAGGAAAUUUUUUUUCUUUGCUUGUAAUAUAUUUUAUUGAAGAAUGUGUGGUUGAAAUGAUGUCAAAUCAUUGUUGAAAAAUGUAUUUUGGUUGAAAAAUGGGGCUCAAACAAGGGCUUAAUUGAUGACUACAUUCAAGGAUCAUCAUCAAAAAAAGGACCAUGUCCUUCAUCUUCUCAAAAUACUACCCUUUGUACUUUAUUCUUCAAAAAGCCCACCCAAACCGAAAAUACUCCAUCAUAGACAAAACCUUCAAAAAUUAAAACAAGCUGCUCAAGGUUCUGAAAAACUACAUCAAAUAAACCUUUCAAGUACCUUUCAAUAAUUUUUAAUAUCUGUGUAUAUUCCAAAUUUCGAAAAUUGGAAUAUACGCGGAUUUGAGAAAAUUUUGAAAGGUAUUUGGAGGGUUUAUUUGAGGUAGUUUUUCAAAACCUUGAACAUCUUGUUUAAAAUUUGAAGGUUUUGUUUGUUCUAGAGUAUUUUUAGUUUGAGUUGGCGUCUUGAAGACUAAAGUAAAAACGUUAAUAUUUUGAGUAUUUUGAGAAUAUGAAGAACAUCAUCCUUCUUUUCUUGAUGAUGAUCCUUGAAUGUAAUCAUAAAUUAAAAAUAAAGGAAUAGUAAUCUUUUUCAAUUACUUUUCUUUUGAAAUGGUUUCAGAGGAAGCCAUUGAAUUCUUAUCUUUCUUUGAAGUCUUACUCUUUUUCUUGAUAAAAUGUCUUCCCAAAUCAUCUACUAUUUUUUUGAAUAUUCUCACAACUCUCUCUUUUUUGUAGGAACUCUCUUGUGAGGAAGUCUGUAAGAACAUUUAAUGUUCCUUGUAUAUAUAUUAUUUCAAAAUCAAAAUAGGAAAACAUAGCCUUCCAUCUUGCAAUUAUUUGAUCUAAAACAAGAAUUUUGACAUCUAUUUCUAAAAUAUCUUUUGAAACUUUAUAAUCAGUUUUUAAUGAGAAUUUUUUUAUUAAUUUUAUCAUCUUGAAAUUUUGAAACACAUAAAACAAUAAAUAAAAUUUCCUUUUUAAUGGUAGAAUAAUUCUUUUGAGUGCCGAUUCACACUACACUAUGAAACCUAACCAACUAUUCUUGAUUUGAUUGGUUUAGAAUCUAUUUUAACACUUCACCAUACAAUGUGUUGAGAUGCUAGAAAUGCUAAUCUAAAUUUUUAGAAUAAAUUAGAACAUUAUCAAUAUGAACAAUAAUGAAAUUUUAAUAGAGAUUGAAAAAAUCAUUCAUAAUUUUUUGAAAUUCUGAAGAAGCACUUUUAAGUCCAAAAGGCAUAACAUUCCAUUCUUAUUGACCAAAUGGAAUAUAAAAGUAGUUUUGUACCUAUCUUUUUUUUUUAAUUUGAAUCUGCCAACGGCCAGAUUUCAUAUUAAAUAUGGAGAAGAUAGUGGCUUUGAGUAAAAAGUUAACAAAUCUUUCUUUUUGAGAUAAUGGAUAUCGAAUCUAUUGAAGAGCUUUAUUGAGGGGUUUGUAGUUGAUAAUGAGCCUUGGAGCAACUUGUUCAAUUUCGGCAAAAUUAUUGAAAUAGAAUACUGAGCAACUCCAAGGAGAUUUGCUAGGCCAAAUAAUUUUCUUUUAUAAUAAAUUAUUGAUUUUCUUGAUACAGAAAUCAAGUAAUUCUUUAUACAUUUGAAUAUGAUGAGAUUUUGUAGAAAUUGUUGACUCAUGAAAAUCAUGAAUAUAAAAAAGAGAAAUAAUAUGCUUCUUUCUAUUUCAGAAAGCAUUAGGAAUAGUCAAACAUAUUUCAUUUUCAAUUUAUUUUUGAAAAUUUGAAAUUUUUUCCUUUAAUUGAAGAGUUUUGCAAUUGUUUUUUAAUUAUUUGCAAUUUAAUUUCUUCUUUAAGAAAUUGUAUAUGAUUUUUCUUUAAAUUAAUGUUAUUGAUAAAUUUUCAAAUUAAAGCUUCUAUUAAAGAAUUAACAUCUUUAAGUGAAGGAUGAUUUUUAAAUUUAUAAAAUAUUUCUUGACCAAAAAUAUUUGUAUUAAGACCCUUUGAAUCUGCUUGAAAAGGAUAAAUUUUAAUAAUAAAGGGUGUACCAAUAAUUACUUCUUGAUCCAAGUCUUUUACUAAAUAAAAAAUAUUUUUUAAACAUAUAAUUGAAUUGCGAACAUGUGCUUUUGAAAGUUUAUAUUGAAUGUUGAGUUUUCUAUCACUAACACCAUAAAGACUCUCAAUAGUUUUUACAAAAUAUUUUUACGGAUAAAUCCUUUCCUAAUGCAAUUUUGAUCGGCUCCUGAAUCAAUUAGAACUCUAGAAGUAAAUUUGUAUUCUUUAUUGACUAUGAUAGUAAUUGUAGAAUACCACUUUUGAAGUUGAAUACAAUUGAUAACAUUGAUAUUUUCAUCAUCAGAUGUCUGAUGAUGAGAAGUAGGAGAAGUAUCCUCAUCUGAAGAAGAGGUCCCUUUGAAGAAAAUUUGUACUUCUGUUUGGAAUUAUAUUUUUGUUCUAACUAUUUAGUUUUCAAGAAUACUACUUCCAUACGAACAUCUUUCAUUUAAUGUUCAAGAGUUCAAAAUUUGAGGUUUCAUUAUAUUUAUUUCUAAUCUUAAAUCAAAACUGGAAAAUUUUGAAACAUUUUAGGAUUCAGUCUUAAACCUAUUUAAUAAACUCUGCAUAUUAAACAAUUCUACUGAUUUUGAAGAAAGAAAAGAAGAAAACUUUUCUUAAGUUGAGGAUUUUCAAUUUUCUCAACUAUUUCUUGAUUAAGUUCUUCUUCUUUUGUAAGAACAUUUAUGGUGUUACAACCACAAACUUCUUUAUCUUGGUUUGAAGAGGAAGAUGAUUUUGAACUAGUUUCAACGUUAGAAACUUCUUGAUGUUGAUAAACUUGUUCAAGAUUAUACUCAUAUUCUUCAACUGAGCUAGAAUUAAUUAAAUUGAGAAGUUCAAUUUGAAGAUUAUUAAUCUUUCCCUUCAUAGGACGUGUGUCUGAAUAGUGACCUAUUUGAUUAAACUUCCAACAGGUACCAUUAGAAGAUUUUGAAUUUUUAAAAUUCUUUUUCUUUGAAAAUUUUCUUUUUGAAAAUUUUGAAGGAUAAUAUUUUUGAAAAGAUUUUUUUUUUUUUGAAAAUAUCCUUUUUUUUUCUUUUCUUAUAUAAGAAGUAAUAUUUUUCUUUUUCAAUUUUGAAGAAGGGAGGAAUAAUUUUCUCAAAACCAUAUUAUUCACAGCACGAUCCAAGUUCAUUUUGACUUUCAAAUCCUUCUGAUUUCAUUUUGGUCUUAAGUUUGAGAUCAUUACAUGAUGCUAACUUUCCUUAUUGACGAAAUUAAUAAUUUCCCCAUAAGUUAGAAGAGCAUAUGGAAUGGUAUCAUUCAGUUGAAGUUUACUAACUCUUUUUGCAAAGUUUAGGAAGUCCAAAAAUAAACAUUUCUUUCCAAAAAGAUUGAUUGCAGUCGUCACGACUUAGGACUCUGGUCAUAAACAUAUCUUUAUACCAACGAAAAUCAUGAAGUUUUGGACAAGUAAGAUUCAUUUGAAUUUUAGAAGAUCUCUCAUGAAGUAAAUUAGGAGUUUCAAUGAGAUGUUUGAGAAUUGAAUAAAUAAGAGUAUUAAACAUAUCAGCGUUUCCUUGAGAAUCAUUGUAGUUAUUCUAUCUUCUGUGGUCAAAUAAUUAUUCCACCAAUUUUUUAAUUGUUCGUUGAAACGUUGGACUAAGUUUGAUAUAGAAUCAUAAGCAAAUCUACCUUUAUCAAUAUAAGCAGCAUAGCAAACUACCAUAUUUUCAGGGAAAUUAAUAAUUUGAUAUUCUAUCAUACCAUCGAGAUUCUAUUCAACUAGUUCAUCACUGGUAUAGGCAACUUGAUUCUUCUUUUCCUCAUAACACAUUUCAGGAUAAGAAGGACAAGAAUAAUAAUUUUGGAAGGUUUGAAUUUUGACUUCUCAAUUUAUUGAUAAAAUUUUUUUCAUUCUCAAUAAAUUGAUUUUCAAGAUUAUCAAUAUCAUCUAUCGUAUUAAAAUUUUUAGAGGGUGCCAAUUUUGAAAUUUGUUUUGCAAGUUCUUGUAAAGUACUGGAUUCAUUAGACAAAAUGUUUUUACCCAAUUUUGGAACAAAUUUUGACUCUAUAGGUUUGAAAAUAAGAGGCUGCCUUUCAUCUUUCUUAGAUGAAGAAACCUCAGAAUUAGAAUUAGCUUCUAUUCUGGAUAAUUGAGAACACAUAGAUUAAAUAACAAUAUUAGUAUAAUUGUUCUCAAAUUGAACAAUUUUGAUAUCUUUAGCUGUAGUCUCAGAUUCUUUUGAUCUGUCAGCUCAAAGUUGUUUGAUAGGAGAUACAAUUAUUUCAGUAUUUCCAUGGGAAACAACUAUUCUUGCAUCGAAGGAUGUUCAUAUUGAAAACUUUGACUCGAAGGAGUUCUCCAUGUCUUUUUAUUAACAUGGGUAUUUUGAAUAGAAUAUUUUAACAUUCUUUUGCCAAAAAUUUUGAAAUGUUCCCAUUCAUAAAAACUUAAAUUUUUAGGAAAAUCAUAAAAUUCAUCCCACAAAGAUUUGAUUUCUUCUUUUAAAAACAUUGAUCGAAUAGUUUUUCGAAAACAUUUGACUGAAGGAGUUUGACCAGUUUUAAAUCCAUUUUUUUUCUAUCUAUAGUAAAAGAAAUGACAUUACAUUGCUAAUCCAACCUUUCGGCAGGAUUUGGAAGCAUAUAAGAUAAAGUUGGUAAACCUGGCUCUUUUGAUUCAUCGUCUUUAUCAGAUGCGUAUUGAGUUUUUGGAAUAUUUGGAGUAAAAUUAAUUUCUUUUAAUUUGUUUGAAGAGGUUGAAAAUUUAGAAUUUUGACAAAAAAUUCUCAGAUCUAUUCCAAGAUCUAGAAGAAUAAGAUGUUUGAAGAUUAUUUGAAGAAGAACCUCUGUCAAAAAUAACUUUGACAUAUUCAUUAGGAAAUGAAAUAAUUUAAUCUGAGAUUGAUCUAGUGGGAACAAAAAUUGGAGUUUGAGCAUUCUCAAAAUUCCAUGCAAGUCUUCUGGAUUGAAGAUUCUAUGGUAUCCUGUAGAAUGAAGAGGAUUGACCUCCACAAGAAAACUUUCUUCAUAUUGAAUUGAGUGUUCAUAAGAUUAUAAUAUAUUCUAUAUAUUACAGCAAAUACUUUUGAACGAUCAUCCAUAUCAAGGUUUUUCGUUUAAAUAUGAAGAUUAAGAGCAUUCAAAAUAGCUCUAUCAUUUAAAUUGAUAGUAAAAUUUGGAUAACAAUUUGAAAAGAUUGGACCACUUUCUAAAUUUGAUUCUAAAAGAGAUAGUAAUGAAUUUUCAAAUUUAAGAAGUUUUUUUUUUUUUAAUCUCUGAGAGUUAAGAGAAUAUGAAUGUCUAAACCAAAUCGAAAUAAAGGCUUGACAGCAAUUUAAAUUAAUCUUACAUGAAGAUAUUUAAACUUCUUCCUUUCAAUUGAAAAAUGAUUUAUUUGAAGAUACUGAUGCUUAAUAGCAAUCAUUUGCUCAAGUGUUUUGAUAACAUAGUUUUGAUGAAAAUCAAACUUUCCUAUUUCAUAGAUAGAACUUUUGUAUACCUUUGGAAUAGUCCAGUUAUGUAAUUUUUUUAUUUUUUUUAAUUUUUGCAAUUUGAAGUUCAUAAGAAUUGAAUGUAUCUAAUGCAAAUGCAUGAUUUUGAUCUAUUUCUUCUUUAUCAUGAAUAUUGUUUGAAAUAUUUUCAAAUCUACUACUAGAUCUCCUAAACCAACUUAAAAACGAAAACAUAAUUAAAUGAAAAAUGAAAUUAUAAUGAAUUACUACUAUAGAUGCAAUGCUACAGAAUUGACUUACUCUUUGCAAAGACUACAAUGGGACCACCCUAACAUCUACCUCGCAACACGAGCUGACCAACGCUAUUCAGCAGACAUCCUUUCUUUCAUCAGCUUUUUCCUUGACACGGUAUGUAUAAUGAAUAAUCACUACAAUCUCACCUCACUAUCUUAUGGCUCUGAUACCAAAAUAGGCCAAGGGAUGCACACAAAUUUAUCAUUUACUUGUAGAAUUUUAAUUCUCCAGUAUAUAUUUAUUACGAUUCUUUUUGAAUUAUCAAGGUAAGUGUAGUCAUGAAAUGUAAGAAUCUUUUUCAUACUUUUAAAUUACAAAAUUCGAUUGAUGAAUAAAUAUGAAUUCUCUAUGUAUAAAUUUAAGGGAAUGGAGUUCAAAUUAUAGUCAUCUAAGUUCAGUUUUUAAUUCUCGUGUUUCCUUACACACUUUAAAAAUAUCUAAUUUUAAAUGUGAAAUACGAUUCAUUUUGGCUCAUUUAUUGGGAUUUUAUCUCAUUGUUUAUAAUUUUUUCCUUUUCAAGUAAUUAAGGUUCAAGGUAUUGGAGGUUGGAACUGACCGGUGGUGGUAUAAUAAAAAGGAGAUGACUUAUGAAAUUUGAACAAUUUGCUCAAUUACUUUUAUGAUUAAAUAAUUGAUUUCAGUUAUUGUAAUCUUGGGAAAAAUUAUGCUUUUUUAUGAAAUUUUUUAUUUUACAAUAUUUGCUUAAUGACUCCAAGGGAAAGUUUUGGAUUGUUCCAGCUAUUGCCAAAAGUAUAUGUCUCUCAUCCCAUUUUUACAAGAAUUGAAGAAAUACAAGCUAGACCAACAAAUACGAAAAGUUUUUGCAUGUACAUAAGAAGCUCUACAUUAAUAUCCAUUAAUCAAAGUGAUACGACAGAUUCUGGUUGUGCAAAUUUUUUAAAGGAUAUGUUAUCUAAGAAAGAUAAAGCUUUCCAAAUUUGAUAUUGUGCAGCUAACUGAGGAGAGUAUUGUAAGAUUGCAAACAAACUAUCUCCCAAAAAAAGAUCUAUGGAGUUUUUCUUUAUCAGUUUUAAUUGGAAAAGCUUGAUUUGUUACUGCUUUAUAUGAUACAUGUGCUAGUAUUAACUUCAUGAAAGUAUACAUAAAUUUUGAAUUAGGAGAAGUUAAAGCAACAACAAUUGUCACUGGAGCUAGUUGAUAAAACCAUCAAAUAUAUUUCGGGAUAAGGUUGAAAAUGAGCUCAACGGACAACAAAGUUCACAUUCCGAGUGGAUUUUAUAAUACUCGACAUAGAAGAUGAUCAUGAUAUUGCUGUGAUCUUGAAUCCUCCAUUAGUCAACAUGAGGAAAUUUGAGCUGAUCUUGAUUGUGGAUGAUGUACAAGAAGUAUUUAAUAUACACACUUAUUCAACCUCUGGGAUUGUUGUAGUAACAUACAUACUUAUUCAACCUCAAGGAUUGUUGUAGUGUUCAUAAAGAUGAUUCACCUUAACAACGAAUUUGUCCUUAUAGAAGAGGAAGUGAUGGAAUUGUUGGUACUCUCAAAUAUUAAAUCACUGAUUGAGCCCCAUUUUUCUGCCAAAAUGAAUUUUGAAACUAAAGUGAAGUCAAUGACCCAAUUGAGACAAAUUCAAGUUUAGUAACCCAAUUAAUAUGUUUCUGAAACCUCAGUGUCUGCAUAUGAAAAUUUUGGCCAUCAUUAGAUUUAAUUGUUCCAAUGGUCACUAUACUUAGGUCCAUAUAUUUGAUUGGCCACUAAAAUUUAAAAUAUCGAAUUUUAUCCACUAAACUUUGAAAAAUGUCGAGUUUUGUUCAUUGACCUUAGAUUCAGUUCUUUGAUUGAUCACUGAUGUUUAAAAUGUCUAGUUUUAACCACUGAACAUUGAAAAAUGUCGAGUUUUGAUCACUGAACUUAGGUUCAUGUUUUCGAUUGUUUACUGAAAUUUAAAAUGUAGUGUUUUGGCCAUUGAAUUUCAGAAUAUGUUGUAUGUUACUUACUAGCAUAAAUAUUGAAUUUUGAAAAAUAUCCAAUUUAUGGUGAUUAAUGUAAAAUAUUUUUCAAAAUUUAGUGAGUAAUGUAAAAUAUUUUUCAAAGUUCAGUGAGUAAUGUACAAUUUUUUUCAAAGUUCAGUGGUCAAAAUUCGAUAUUUUUAAACUUCAACGAGCAAUUAAAGAUAUGGACAUAAAUUCAAUGAUCAAAACUCGAUAUUUUUCAAAGUUCAGUAGUCAAAACUUGAUAUUUAAAACUCAAUUGUCAAUCAAACACAUGGACGUAAGUUGAGUGACCAUUCUAACAAUUAACUCCAUCGUUACUUGAACAAGAAGACAUAAAGCGAUUCUUAAGAUCCUCUAUCCCACGAGCACACACGCAUUAUCGCGCAGAAAAACACAAUUUCAGUGAAUUAUUGGAGAUGGCGACGCCGAUGGUAGAAGAUAGCAACUUCGAGGAUGAUCAGCUCUCUUCAAUGUCCACGGAUGACAUUAUUCGGGCCUCCCGCCUCCUCGAUAACGAAAUCCGGAUCCUCAAGGUUUUAUUUAUUAUUAUUAUUAUUUUUUUUUAAGAAGUACGAUUGUGAUUGAUGAUAAGUAAAUGUUUGAUUUUACGAUGUUGAUUUGGUUGUUGUUAAUUGUGAUCUUUAUUUAGUAAAUUAUUUAUUAUUUUGUUUCUAUAGGAAGAGUCGCAGAGAACGACUAUGGAGUUAGAUUCAAUCAAGGACAAGAUAAAGGAAAAUCAAGAGAAAAUUAAGCUCAACAAGCAGCUUCCUUACUUGGUCGGGAAUAUUGUUGAGGUAUGUAAUGAAUUGGCUUUUUACUUCUCUUAAAGGGUUACUAAUUGGGUGUUUUACAUUCUACUGUUUUGAUUUGGGAAAAAUGAGAAUUCUCGUGAAUUUUGCUAGAUUUUGCUAUAUAUAGGGCAUUUCUAGGAUUCGAUUUUUUUUUACUGUUUUGUAGCUCUCAAUGAUUAGGGGAACUCGUAGAAAUUUAAGAUUUCAUUCGAGAAAGGGAAAAAUUCUGUUGCUUAUGGGUUUGACAUGUAAUGGUUCAUUUCAAAAUUGAGAUGGUGGCUGUAGAGCUUAUAAUGGGGGAAGGGGGUCUUCUGUUGUAGAGGGGUCUAUAUUGCUGGCAUGUACUAGAACACUUCGGGCCCGUGUGUAUUUAUUUAUAUCUUUCUAGCCUUUGCACUGAAUGGCAGGGAAGCACAACAUAAUGAUCUGAAUAAGUUGUGAGGAGAUGAUGGCCGACUUUAUGAGCAUUUAAAGAAAAUGAAAGCAGGUUAUUGUAGAAUAAUUUUUAUUACCUGAUGAAUUAGGUAUAGUAGGACUAGUUACUGAAUUGUCUUGUAUUUUUAUGAACCUGAGACAUUGCCAAUGGUUCCGAAUGAUUUGUAACAAACGUUAUGCCAUCUGCUUUCCUUGUAACUUAUGAUGCUUGAGACUUUAAAUGUAACUCCCUCUCUCUUUGCUUCCCUUGAAGAAACCAAAAAUAAAAUGUGGUCAUAUAAUACCAAAACAAAUCCUGGAAAAAGCAAAAUCAAAAUUUAGUGAUAGAGGGUUUUUCGACCACGUGUCUUCAUGGUUGCUUAUGUAUUUGGGUGAGUAGCGGAAUGCAAAAAUAAAAAAUAAAAAUAAAAUAAAAUCAUUGGAGGUAGGGAGGGAUUCACAACUUUUAAUAUGUGUAAUCAAGUCACAUGCUUAAGGACACUGUCAACAUUCUCAUGGCUGAGCAUGAGUGCAAUGCUACUCUAUCUGGUUUUGGCACAUUGAAUGCUAUUAUCAUAAUUAUUUUCCGGGUUUUGACUCACUUUGAAUGUCAGUACCCUCUACCUCUCUCUCCCUUUUCAAUUUUUCACACACCAAACUAACAAGGGAAAUAGUUCCAGGGGAAAAAGCUUGAAAGAAAUCUCUGAGUCAGAACAGUUAUGGAUUCCUCUACAAAGAUGUUAAGAGGUUCUUUGGAUUAAAGUAGCAGUGACUUUCAUGUUUAUGACCUAGUCGUUUUGGAUUUGGGGAUCCGCGAUUGCCUGGGAGCUGACUUUUUCAAGUCUAUGGACAUUUCAGGGCAGAGGGUACACAAUAAGGAGACAAGAAAAAGAAUGAGUGCAUGAGAGAGAGAGAGAGAGAGAGAGAGAGUCCAUACUUCAUCGUAUUUUUUGGUGUCAACUGAUUGUUGUGUACCUUGAGUUUUUGACUAUUGGGACUUAGUUUAGUCAUUUAAAAUAAAAGCAGAUCCAUCAGUAAUUAGAUAACAGAAACUUUUAAAAGUUCACUUAUGGAGACGGGACUUUGCUUUGGGGUUGCUAUGAAGGAUUUUUUUUUUUUUUUUAUAAUUAUUAUUAUUAUUAUUAUUAUUAUUAUUAUUAUUAUUAUUAUUAUUAUUUAUUUAUUUAUUUAUUUGGAGGGACCACUGGAUUGCUGGUAAUACAGGGCAUUUCAUUAAUAUUCCAAAAUGUGGAUAAGAAGUGAUUUUAUUCUACUUGUCUAAAGAAACCUAGUUCUUUAGGCAUGAUGAGGCUUACUUGAGUUAUUUCCCCCAAAAAAUAAUAAUAUAAAUUAUUUCUCCAAAUAAUAAAUAAAUAAAUCAGGAAAAGAACAUUAUUUUUGUACUUGAGGGGAAUUGAAGCUCUUCUAUCAUUCAUAUUCACAGGCUUUUGGCCGACAAGAAUGCUGUAGUCUUUGAAUUGUAGAAAAAUCACAUGUGUACUGCUAUAUUGCAUACGACAAUAUUCUUCUGAAGUUUGCUUUCUAUGUCUCUAUUUAGUUUAGUUUAAGCUGGAUGUAUGUUAGUUGUCUUGCUUCGAAGUUCAAGUAAUGCACUUUAUUUGGUCCCCAUAAUAAGUUUAUUGGUGACUUCUACAGUACUUUGAAGUUGGUAACAAUUCAAGUAUUGUUCAUUUAAUAUUCUUAUAAUCUUGAUUUGUAAAAUUUUCAGAUAUUGGAAAUGAACCCUGAGGAUGAGGCUGAGGAAGAUGGUGCAAAUAUUGAUCUUGACUCACAAAGGAAGGGUAAAUGUGUUGUGCUAAAAACAUCUACUCGUCAGGUAAAACUAGCUUCUCUUCAUGUGGCUCUCUUUCUUUGUCUUUUCCAACCCUUCCUUGGUCUACGUUUUAUGUUCCCAAGAUUCAUUUCCUUUCUUCCCCCUUUUGGUUUGUUUAUUUUAAGAAAGCAGGCUAUGGGGUUGUUUGAUUAUUAAAUGACAGUCAGUUAUUUCAUAAAUUUUUGAAUAUCUACUUCUGUUAAAACCUUGAUACAUCACAUUCAUGUUCUGUGUAUGAGGCAACCCCCUACUCUUUUUUUAUCUGUUCUUAUGAGCUCCACAAGUCUCGUUGUAUCAUGUAAAACGAUUGAACGUCUUGUUUCUAUAUUCUUUGAUGGUUGCAGACUAUUUUCCUGCCUGUGGUGGGUCUUGUUGACCCUGAUCAAUUGAAGCCUGGUGACUUAGUCGGAGUAAACAAAGAUAGUUACUUGAUCUUGGAUACUUUGCCUUCUGAGUAUGAUUCUCGAGUUAAGGCUAUGGAGGUUGAUGAGAAACCAACUGAAGACUAUAAUGACAUUGGAGGCCUAGAGAAACAGGUAAUUAUCCUUUGAAUCAUUUGAUAUUGAAAGGUUAUCCUCAAUUUAUCAUCAUAUUUUUUACUGUUAUUCUGGAUUUUUGUUCUUGAUGUGACAGAUUCAAGAACUAGUUGAGGCUAUUGUGUUGCCUAUGACACACCAAGAACGAUUUCAAAAAUUAGGAGUUCGUCCCCCAAAAGGUGUUCUUUUGUAUGGGCCACCUGGAACAGGGAAAACCCUGAUGGCCCGUGCAUGUGCUGCGCAAACAAAUGCUACUUUUCUUAAGCUGGCAGGUCCGCAGCUUGUACAGGUAUAAUAUUUUAAAAAUUCUUUAUUAUUUUUCCUGAUGAACUGUGCUGAUAGCUAGUAGGAGUUAGAGAUCUAAUUCUUGAAGCUUUGUUUAUUUGUCAUUUGACAUAUUGGAAGGGCCCUCUAUUAACUUUUAGAAUAGGAGAUUUUUGUCAGGUCUUUCUUUCAAGCAGUGUGUUGAUUACUGGCUUUAAAAAACUUAAGGUCAUUUUCCAAAUCUGAUGAUAUUGCACCAACGGGUUAUACGAAUAACAUGAAAUUGGAAUCACAUUUUGAAUUCUCCUCCACUUCUCUAAUGUAGACAUGCACUUCAAUGCAUCGAAACUAUGACACAGUUUAGUUGAUUUGGCACAUCAUUAACCUUAUUAUAUGGAUUUAGAUGUUCAUUGGAGAUGGAGCAAAACUUGUUCGUGAUGCUUUUCAACUUGCAAAAGAAAAAUCUCCUUGCAUCAUAUUUAUUGAUGAGAUUGAUGCUAUUGGCACAAAGCGAUUUGACAGGUGAGAGUUUUCUCUUGAAUGUAGUUUAGUGUAUUUCAAUAGGUUGGAAAUCUUGUGAAUUGAUGUUCUUGAUGGUUUUGAGGCAUGUGCCAUGGCAAUAUUGUUUCUUACAAGACAAAAUUUUAUUUAUACAGUGAAGUUAGUGGGGACAGAGAGGUGCAGCGGACUAUGCUAGAGCUGCUCAAUCAGUUGGAUGGUUUUAGCAGUGAUGAUCAGAUAAAGGUUCAUUCUCUCUCAUUAUUUUCCUUCUCAGUUUUUUAUUGAUGAUAUAUGAUUCUGUCUUCUGCAUCCUCUGAAUUCUUUGGAACUAUUUGCUCUACACAAGUGGGAUGCAUUCUAUGCUAUAUUUUUAACAAUCAGUGGAUGUGAUGCACUUUCCAUGUUCAAAUUCUCUGUUAAUAUUCAAGCACAUCGAAAUAAAAUAAAAUAAAAGCCUGCCAUUCAAUUUUUACAAUUUCUGUAAUGUGCUUGGUGAUUAUCUGAAUCUACCUUUUCUCAUUUUUAGGUGAUAGCGGCAACAAAUCGAGCGGAUAUCCUAGACCCUGCCUUAAUGAGGUCUGGUCGCUUAGAUCGUAAAAUUGAGUUUCCCCAUCCUACCGAGGAAGCUCGGGCUAGGAUCUUGCAGGUAUCUUUUCUCAAUUAUUUUUUAAUUUAAUUUCCUUAAGAGGUUUGGAUGGGACCAUGGGGCUGUGAUCAUAUUGCUUCUAUAUCAUUACCUCGUACCACGACUGUUCAUUAUCGUUACAAGGGUACCCUUUAUUACUACCAUUACUGACUUCAUCCUUCUUUUGUUGCGUCUUUUAACAGAUUCAUUCCAGAAAGAUGAAUGUUCAUCCAGAUGUCAAUUUUGAGGAGCUUGCCCGUUCAACAGAUGACUUCAAUGGGGCACAACUGAAAGCUGUUUGUGUGGAAGCAGGCAUGCUAGCACUCCGACGGGAUGCCACUGAGGUCUCUCUCUCUCUCUCUAUACGAAAUUGGUAUAAUGAUCAUCAGUUUCUGGCUUUGAUAACCAAAAAUGUAGAAGUGACGUCUAAAAAAAUUAAGAUAGAAAAGAUACUAUGAACCUUUAGUGGGGUCUUUUUUUCCUUUAUAUUUGUCUUGCGUUUGUGUUUGGGGAUGUUGUGUGUGUGGGUUGGGGGGGGGGGGGGGGGGGGGGAGAGAGAUGAAGUAACAUUUCUUAUCCCAGUGAUCAAAAAGUACCCAUCCUAGCUUUGUUAUAUAUUUUUCUUUAGGUAUAUUGAUGUCCCCCCUAUAAUGGACUUCUGAGAUACUAUGAACAAAAUUUGUAUACUUUUACGUCAAAGAAACUAUGAACUUCUAGUGGGGUUUUUUUUUUCCUUUAUAUUUGUCUUGCGUUUGUGUUUGGGGAUGUUGUGUGUGUGGGUUGGGGGGGGAGGGGGGGAGAAGAGAGAGAUGAAGUAACAUUUCUUAUCCCAGUGAUCACAAAGUACCCAUCCUAGCUUUGUUAUAUAUUUUUCUUUAGGUAUAUUGAUGUAUAUUAUGGUUUUGCUUUACUGUAAAUCUCUCACGAAACGAGAAGAAUCAAAUCCAUUCAAAUUGAUACGGAAUUCUAGUGCAAUUCACUUUUAUUAAGGUCCCUUAGUCUAGAAAUGGUCUGAUGAGAACUUCAUGUGGGACAAAAUGCGUGCAAGACUCUGAGUGAACUGUGUUUAAGAAAAUAUAUUAACAGAGAACAAGUGCUAUAUCAUCUUCUCUUCCCUUUUAGAUAAAAUUGUACAAGGAUAUUUACACAUGACUUGUUUUUCCCAGGUAAACCAUGAAGAUUUUAAUGAAGGUAUUAUCCAAGUUCAAGCAAAAAAGAAAGCGAGCUUGAACUACUAUGCAUAGGAUUUUACUUGGCCUCGAGGUUCAAAGUUGAGAGACAAAAUAACUAUUGGUAAGAAGCGUCAAACUGCAAAUGCACUGCUUUGUAGAUUCCCAAUUGUUCGGAAGUUAAACUGGGAGGCUUUCUACCCCAUUCUCCUGCACCAUAUACUAUCCCUGCUUCCGUUUUCCCCGAAAAGGAAAAUAUUAAAAAACAGAGAAUUCAGAAGUUUCAGUAGGCCGACUACAUUUUAGUUUACUUGAUUCCGUCUGCAUCACGUUUAGCUUAAAUGUACUUGUGGUUUUUUAUGUGAGCUUUCCAGGAAAUGAAGAACUAUGUUAAACUAUUGGAACACUGAAAAUGGAAUUUGUCAUGUGUUUUACGGUUUAUUUUCCUGUGGAAAGUAUGCUUUGUUUUACAUUAACGAAGAGAAUUCUCUCCUGUUAUAUUGGAGUUCUUUCUAAAAUAUAUCAUCUGUUCAGAUUCCUUUAGAAUCAUUGGUAGCAUUAGUUGGUAAUCUUUGGUACUUUAUCAUCUAAACUGAAGUGGCCUUUGAAGGGGAAAAAAAUAAAAUAAAAUAAAACUUCAUAUCUUUGGCUCUAGUAUUUAAAUUUGAACAUUUAAAUCCUUGGCAUUUCAAUUUUGUUGCAUUAUUAGUACAAUUGGUGGUUCGGAUAUAUGGUGCUUUUGUUGAGGAAGGGUAACAUGGGGUGGUGGUCAGCUCCCGGUUGGAUGUGGGUCUUUUUGAUCUAUAUUAUCAAAGUAAUGCUAUUCAGUGCGACUAAUGUCAAAUAUCAAUUUAGGUGAUUACUACAGGAUAUUAAAUGAUAGAUUUAUUUAAAUGCAAUGUCUCAAAAUUAUUUUAAUUGAACGUAUAAAGUGUGGUCACCUAAACUAGUAUUAGAUAGCAUUAUUCUUAUUAUUUUGAUAUUUUCUUUUUAUUUCAUUUUUUGAAUUAAGUGUUGGUUUACCUGGCUUAUCGGUUAUAAAAUCAGACAUACAAGCCACAUGAAAUUCAAUGGAAAAGAGACUAAUACCGUAAUAAGGUAAUAGGUUGAUGGACCAAAUGUCUAGAUUCAAAGGUUGGAUCCUACGUUGCUGAAAUUGCAGAAAUUUGAGGACUAUUGCUGCAUUUUUUUACCCAUAAAUUAGGUUGCAAGUUUUGCCAAAGUGAAUUGUUAUGAUUUGUCGAUAACAAUAAAGGAAUACUUAUUCUUUUUUAACCGUUUUUUAUGCAGAAUGGUUACAUGGUCUAACGUAUUGUGUUCAAAUUUCGUUAUUACUCAUUUAGAAAAGCGUUAAAGGGGGUCGUGUAACAUGGAUUGACUUUGAAGUGGAUGUGACUAUGAAUAAAAAGUACGUUCUUGAUGUGAAAAAUUAUUUAUAAUAAGGGUAAAAUAUAAAUUUUACAAGUUCCCGAAUGAGUAUAAUUUUUGAGGAAAAAAAUUAAUAAAAAAAUAAACAAACUCAGUACUAGUUACCUAAAUCCAAACAAUUUCUGAAGUAUUCAUUAAUGUCUCUAAAAUUUCCGUUUAGGACUUGGGCUCCUUCAAACCACAUGCAAAGUAGAGAAAAGUCGGAUCAGCGGCAUCUUCUUUGUAACCUGAAGCCUGAAAGUGUCGACAAUGUCAACAACCUAAAUUAGCUUGAUCAUCUACACCUUUGUCAUCACCCGCACCUUCAGCAGAAGGAUUUGCCCCCGUGUCCACAUCGACUGCUCGUUGAACAGCCCACUAUAACCACGCAACAUAAUAAGAAUGAUAAACACAAGCACCCAAGGCACAUCUCCAAGUGGUAAAAGGGGAGGGUGGAGAAAUCUAGCUUUACUUGAGGCUGUUGCGUCAAGAGUUCGAAUCUUGAAAUAUGGAUUUGGCUCUUGGGUAAGUGCAAGUGUACAAGCAGCCUUCCACCCUGUACUCUUGGAGGCAUAAUCUGCGAUUUACCUCCCUCACGAUACUCCAGAGCAGGGGUGGUGGGGGAUCCUUAAGGUUAGGGUUUAACCCUUUUUUUUUUUUUUUUUUUUUUUUUUUUUUUUUUUUUUUAAAAAAAAAAAAAAAAAAAAAAAAAAAAAAAAAAAAAAAAAAAAAAAAAAAAAAAAAAAAAAAAAAUUUUUUUUUUUUUUUUUUUNNNNNNNNNNNNNNNNNNNNNNNNNNNNNNNNNNNNNNNNNNNNNNNNUAUAUAUAUAUAUAUAUAUAUAUAUAUAUAUAUAUAUAUGUUGGAAUAGGAGGAGAGAAUUAUAACAGUUGUAUAUAUAGGAGACAUAAGGAAUUUCGAAGCGAUUCGGAUUAGGCACUAAUGUAAGGCCCCGAAAAUUUUCAUAGAACAUAAUUCAUUAUUUUAUAUGUUAUAUUUUUUAUAUUUUGAAAAGGUGGGGUCGAAUGGGUUAUAUACGUUAAAAUUUCAAUUUUAUUUGAGUCAAAUAUUUGGAUAUUGAGGAGCAAUACUAAGUAUGUGAAUAUGGGGCUCGUUAGAUAAAUCGUAAUUAAUCAUGCAUAUUAGGCUACAAAAAAAGUCAAUUCGAAUAAGCGAAGCUCAAGUUAUUGAGUUCAAAAGAUAUUGCCUUAAAUUGUAUUUUAGUUGACUUAGUUAAUGAAUUUAGAAGCUAAGGGUGACAUAUGAAUUUAGAAUCUAAGGGUGACACUUCUAGAGCACGUUUUGGUAAGUUAUUAAUUGAUUUUUUUUAGUAAAUAAAGAUUGUGUAUUUAAAAAAGAAAAAAUAAAAAAGAGAGAGUUUUAUUGUUGAAGAGGUUGUCAAUUAGUUUUAUUUUAUUAUUCUUAUAUUUUGGUGUAAAAUUUCCUAGCAUACAACGUGUCCGAUAAAGUUGUUGGUUGAGAUAUUUCAUUUUACAUGAUAAAGACGUGUGCUUGAAACAUGGCAUAGUUCUACACGAAGUCCAAUACCUUUAUCCCCCUUUGUAUAGAGUUUUGUUAUCUAAAAUAACUUAUGAAGGCAAUAAUUUUUUUUAUAGCGCAUGUGUAUGCAUAAACAAGGCAGAGGCAAAAAAAACUAAGUGAAUGUGAUUUUUAUAAUAUUGUCUUCCAAAAAAAAAAUUGCAGCAAUUUAACAAGGUAGGAUAAUGAGUUGCAGUUGUUUUUGUCAAAUUAUUAUACUUAUAAAGUUAAAGAUAUUAUACGAAAUGUACGAUAUAACUAUUUAGUACCAAAGAUAUGAUAUGUAUUGAACUCUUACUAAUUUCUAAAGAUGUGAUGAUAGUAUGAUAUUUGGACACAUGAUUUAAAUAAUUUCAUUUGGGAUUACACCAUUAUUUUCGUGUCCUAUGAGUAAUCGCAUGUACACCCUUUUCCCCUACUCUCACAGAUUAGAAGGGAUCGUGCUGGACCAUGGCGAUUUGAUGGUGUGAUUGUGCCUUGUUUUGCUAAAGAAAAUCUAAAAAUUUAACACGUAACUUUGUUUCUUUUAACUUUAAUUGCAAUAAACAUUAUUCAUAUUUAAAUUCUCAUACAUGUUUAUUUGAAUAUGAAUAUGUUUAGAUUGCACUUUUGAUCAAAAGAUUGAAUUUAAUUGUUUAAUGUAAUGGUUUUAUUGUCUUUUCCCCAUUUCCAUUUUUAAAUUAAUUGUUUAGUUGGUUUUCAAACACGUUAAAUUACAAUUGUUUAUUUCUAGUAAAUUUGGAUUUCAAAGAAUGUGCGAGUUAGUAGUUAAAAUUGGUUAAUUAUAUAAAAUAUGUGGAUGAAAAUAAAAUUUUACCAUUGUAUAAAUAAAUUUGGUAGCGAUUUAAAUUUUUAAAAUUUGGAUCAUUAUACAUUGAUAUCAGAGCUUAGAUUUUACUUUUUUGUAGGCUCAUAAAUUCUAAAAGUUCAAACGAAUUGUGUAACAAAAAAUGAAAAAGAAAAAAAAUCUCCAUGCACGUCACUGUUCAUCGUGAACAGUGACAUCGUGAACACUGCAUGUCAAUGUUCACGCGAACAAUUUAAAAAUUCAGAAAAAAUAAUAAUAGUAAAAUAUAUUUUAAAUGAUUGUUCAUAUAUUGUCUAUUUUAAGUUCUUAAAUAGGUAAACAUUUGGAAGAUCUUUGGCACUCAAUGAAUAUAUAUAUUGCAUAACUUAAUCUUUUAAAUUGCCUACUUUUAAAUUUUUAAGACAUAUACAUUUUCUUGUUAAAUUCAUGAUAUGUAUUAUUAUAAUAUAGGUAUAACAUUUUAGGCUUAAUAUUGGUACAUGACUUAAUAUUAAUUUUUAGGAAAUGGUACCACCUACCCAUACGAAUUUGAUGCGUGACUUAUUGUGAACAGUACGAGAGUUUAGCAGGUAGAAUCAAGUACCUCUACUACAAAAUGCACCACCACAGCAAAACAUACCUCCAUUUGUCCCUAGAGCUGUUUCAGUGGUUGAGCAAUUUUGUAGGUACAGGCCUCUUAUUUUCAACGGUGUUUUUGACCUACUGGUUGUUUAAAAAUGGAUUAGAGGUCUGAAGUGUAUCUUUCGAUACAUUGCUUGUACUGAUGCACACAAUGUAAUAUGCACAAAAUUUAUGUUUGUUGAAGCAAUUAAUCAUAGGUGGGAGUUUGUCUCAUGCACUAAGACCAAAGAGCUACAGCGUAACUUGACUUAGGAGUAGCUUAAGGAUGAAAUGAUGGCGAAGUACUUUUCACAGGCUUUAAGAGACUUCAAGGAACCAAAGUUUCUACAACUCAAACAAGGAAACUUAUUGCUUACUGAUUACAAGAGGCAAUUUGAGCAGCUCUCAAAGUAUGCCCCGCACUAGAUAGAUACAAUAGUUAAGAAGAUCUGGAGGUUCGAAAAUAGACUACGCCCAGAUAUUGGCAUGAUCAUCAUGUCUCAUCAUUUCACUUCAUAUCAUGAAACGCUAGAGAGAGAUCAUGUUGUUUCAUAUUAGAGGACUACCUUUGAACAGUAUGUCUAGUAGGGCAAUGAGUCAUUGGGAAAAAGAAAGUGAAACGAUUAAAGUAAGGAUAAGCGUAACUGGAAGAAUAAAAGACCAAACACAAGAGUUCAUAUCAGUGGGACGAGUGUGUGUAUUACACCUUGUUCUAAGUGUAAUAAAAUCCACAACGGUGAAUGCUUACUUAGGAAAAACAUGUGUUUUAGGUGUAGCAAGUCGGGAUACAUUGCUCUUAACGAUAUAGAGCCUCUAAAGAAAAAGAAUGAUGAUCAGGACAAGAACAAGAAAGGGAAUGUCCGUCUUUUUGCAAUAAAUCAACAUGAGGAGGAACAGGAUUCAAAUGUGAUAGCAUGCAUUUUAUUAUUAUUUGAAGUACCUGUUUAUGUUCUUGAUUUUGUAUCCUUUAUCGCUAAGUCUAACAAGAUAAUUACGAAAUAGGUACUCUAUUAUUAUCUGAUGUAUCUACUCAUGUAUUUAUUGACUCUGGGGCUACAAAUUAUUUUAUCUCUACAUCCUUCGUCCCUAGGUUUAACUUUACAUGUGAGAAAAUGAAUAAUGAAUUAGAGGUUAGAAUCCCUUCAACAUGAACUCUUAGUACAAAUAAGAUGACUAAAACUAUGAAGUUAGAGAUUGAUGGAAAAAUACUUUAGGUGGACUUAUACAUUUUGGUGAUGAAGGACUUCGACGUUAUUAUAGGCAUGGAAUGGUUGGGACUCAAUCAUGCGAACAUUUGAUGUCACAAGAAAUAAGUGUUAUUUUAUAGAUCGAGAGAGGAAGAGUUCCAUUUUUUGGAGCAAAGUUCAAGUCUCUACCUUGCCUUGUGUCGGCUUUACAAGUGGAGAAGAUGUUGAGAAAGGAGUCAUGCCAAGGUUCUUAGUUAAUAUCAUCGGUUCCAAACAUACAAAAAUGAUAUUAACGUUGAGCAAGACUUUGCAACCGUAUUUUCAGAAGAUCUACUAGGCAUUCCACAAGAUAGGCAAGUGGAAUUUACAAUUGACUUUGAAAUACAAUACUAUUGUCCGAAAUAUUUAGGACAUUGACUACAAAUACAAUACUAUUGUUCGAAAUGUAAGUAAGCAAAAGGUUGUCUUUGAAAAUUUUAGGAUAUGUUUAUGAAAAAUGGAAUUGGGGACUUUAUCUGGAAAUACACUUGAUACAAUGUUUUCCACAAAACUAUUAACUAUUAAUUAGGUUCUUGCCAGUGAUAUUAUGAAUAACUAUUUUACAUGACGUUUAGGGAAUAUUAAAUAACUUUAAAUAAAUAUUCUCCACAUUUUGCAUCCUUCAUAUUCUAGCGACCUAAGUAUCUUUUAUUGUAAUGGCAAAAUUACAUACAUUUAGGAUUUGGUUCCUCCUUUGCUGUCCUAACAUUAACAUUAAAGUUUAGAGGUGUCAAAAUUUUAGUAGAUAUAUAAUAUAUUUACUUGAAUUUUAUUAAGACAUUGACGCUUAAAAACUGUAAUGAAGAAUCCAAUACCUUAAACAAAAUUGUAAAGGAAAAAAAUUUUAAUAGUGAGAUAGUCAAAUAGAUUGCAUGAUCAAACUUAGACUGCAAAUGUGGGCUCCUUCUCAAGUUGGUUGCCUUCUCAACAAAGAUCUCAUGAAUAUUCACUAGAAGCUAAUUUCGAUUAUUUUGAAUUGAUAAGCUAAUUUCAUUUAUUUAGUUUACUUUUUAAUCGUUAUACCUUAUUUUGAUUUAUUUGAGCAUGUUUAUAUACAUUUUUACAAAUUAUUGGACAAAUCUAUAAAUUUUACGAGUAAAGAAGGGAGAAAAAUUCAUCCGGAUAGUAUAGCCGUCCAUUUUUUUUAAAUAAAAUGUAAAUAAGGAAUCAACACUUAUCCCAAUCUUGUACUUCGAUAAAUUUCAAAGAAAUGAAAAUAAUUGAUGGUUAUGAAAAUGAACGAGUGAUGAAAAAGUGUUUCUACAAUUUUUUUAAUAUUGGCUACAUCAUAUAUGGACAUCUAUCGUAAUUUACAAAACCUCCUCAAUGUUGCUCGCUCUGAAUAUGAUAUGGACUUGAGAUUUAUAUUUCUCAAUCAUUCAAAUAUUUUGGUUCCAUGGGUAAAGAUUACUUCUGAGGUGUAUUUGAGGUGACUAAUUCAACUCAACAAAGAUCUUAGUUCUACUCUCUGCAUGACCCAGCAAUGAGCACAAAGCGUCUAAUGAAUUAGGUCAUAAUGGGGAUGAUUUUCGAGACGCGGAGAAGAUAGCUCAGGAGGAUGUAGUUAUUCUAGAGAUAGUUGCUACACAUCAUAAUCUCACGGUUACGUAUAAACCUCCCGAGGCAUUUCAAAAUAAUGGGAAGAACAUUUCAUUUAAAAGCCAAUAUCUAAUUGAUUAAUCUGGUUGAGACUCAAUUUAUGUGGGAACUCACAGGCUGGGCCUCUUAUAAGAUUCUCACGUGUGGAUUCCGAUUAUGAAGAUUUGUAGAUUGACCAACUAUUUGACAGCAAGAGGGAUGUACAUGAAGUUGUGUACAUGGUAGCAUUAAAACACAACUUCGAUUUCAAAGUAAAGAAAUCAAAUAGGAAUACCUACCCAAUUAUUUGUGUAAACGACGAUUGCAAUUUGCGUUUGUGAGCAACGAAGUUUGACAUAACUGAUUUUUUUGUAGUUCACAAGUAUUCAUGAGAACAUGCUUACCAAAUGGGUAAUCACUGCAAAGAUCAUAGACAAGAAAGAUCACGAUUUAUUGGCAAACAUAAAAUGCACAAGUUUCAGGAUCCAAGGACAAUUCACAAACCUGCAGACAUCAUUAACGAUAUCUGUUCAGAGUAGGGAAUAGUCAUGAUAACAAACUUGGAAGGCAAAAAGAUGUGCGUUAGAAGAUUAGAUGGGUUCACCUAAUAAGAGUCAUGCUAAAAUGGUAUAGUAUUUAUGGGAAGAACUAAUCAUGGCUUGACGUUCUUUUAUUGAUAUUGUUGAUGACAACCAUUUCAUAUAUGUCUUCAUAGCUCUUGGAUAAUGCAUUUAGAGAUUUCUUAAUUCAAUGGGACUCCUAAUUCUAGUCGACGACACAGCCUCAAAAGUUAGAUACAAAGGCAAGUUGGUUAUUGUUACAUGUCGUAAUGCAAAUAUUCAAAUUUAUCAUCUUGCAUUCGACAUGGUCAAUAGCGAGAAUGAUCGAUCAAUAUAUUGGUUCUUUAUAAAGCUAAGAGAAGUAAUUUGAGACGUUGAAAAUCUUAUAUUUAUAACUGAUCAGGGUCAAGUUAUAAUAAAUAAUAUUGCUUAUGUUUGUCUUGAUGCACAUCAUGGUUACUACAUGUACCGUAGACAAUGCAACUUGAAGACCAAGUAUCGGGCUCUUGGGAUCAUGUCGUUGUUUAGAAAAGUUGCAGACGCAUACACUCUUGAGGAGUAUAAUGAAUACAUGAGCGAAAAGAUAGUAAAUCACAUGAUUUAUGAGUAUUUAACAAAGUAACUAGAAAUAGAACAUUGGGCACGAUCACAUUUUAAAAGAAUUUAGUAUAAUAUGAUGACGUCAAACAAUGUGAGUGUAACACUUAAAAUUUUCGUAAAUCUUGAAAUGUUACAAAAAAAAAAAAAAAAAAAAAAAAAAAAAAAAAAAACCACUUGUCUUUGUAUAAUGCGGAACUAUAAAAAUAAAUUUUUUUAUAAAAAAAUAACUAGAAUAUUCACAGAUUUAAAUUAAUACAUGGAAAUUGUAUCUUAAAAAAAUAAUCACCUUGUUAAUUAAAUAACAUGUCUUUGAACAAACUAAACUAAUAAAUUGAAAGAUAGAAAGUUUAAUUCUUUUCUUUUUCGAAUUGUCUUUCCAGUUCGCAUCACUAUCUCGCUACAAUUCCGAUCGACUCAAACUAAUCUAAAAAAUUAUUGUAAGAGUGAUUAUUUAAAAUUUUCCAGUAAAAUACAUGCAGUUUCCAUAAACAUUUAUAAACAAUAAAAUCCACACUUCUCUUAUGGAGUAUAUCGGUAAUCAAGCGACACACUAAUCUUACGUCCUCCUAAAUUCUCAAAGGAUUUCAUCUCUUUUUAAAGAACCCGAAUGUCCAUACCAUUCAUGCAUAAAUUACUGAACAUACAUGUAUACGAAAACAAACCACUUGUACAAAAGUAUUUUACCUUGUUAUUGAAGGAUUGUAAAAAGAAAAUAAAAUAUUGCACACGAAAAUUCUCAUAUUAUUUUUUUAUACUUUCCGCUCAUUCCCCCCUCCCCCUCUCUCUCUCUACUAUGGCUCUCUCUUUAUUUUCUGUGAUAAAAUAAUGAGAAUUUUUGUAGUAUUUAUAGUAAAAAUUCUAAAUUGAGGUUGUAUGCAACUAGAAUUGACAAAAUAGUGUAAGCAAGGAAUUUGAAUAAAGAAUUGGUUUCAAAUAAUAGAAUUUGAAUUGUAUUCAAAUAAUGUUUUCAUAUCAAAUAAAAAUCGAGUGGGGGUAGGAAUUAAAAAAGGAAAAGAAUUUUACUUAAUUAAUAUUACAAGCCUCCACCAACUUUAUUAACCUAUUAUUCUUUUAAUCGGAAUUAAUUUGAUAAAGUAUAAUCUAAAAUGACUUUUUCUCGUGUUGAAAACUUGUAAUUAAGUACGAGCUACAAAAAAGAGUCCAAUAAUGAUACACUUAUUUUUUCCUCUAUUAAAAUCUAAUUAUUUGGCCAAAAUAAAAUUAAAAUUAAACAAUUUCACUUUAGUCCCUUAACUUUCGAAAUAUAAAGAUAUAGCAUAUAGAACAAAUAAAAUUUACUUUGCAAAAUUUUCGUAGCAUUACAAUCUCCCCUCUUUAAAAGAAUUUCGUCAUCGAAAUUGCCUCGAUUAGUUGAAAAGUUCUGGAUUCUGGACUUUGACUUACUUCUAAUAGUACAUAACAUGAAACAAGAAAACUCAUAAUCAUGUUAAAAGAAUGAUAUUUCAUUUCAUACCUUAGAUCCAUCGAAGAGUGAUCGAACAGUGAGCAUAGCAUGCCAAGAAUUCUUUAACUCAUUACAUAUUUAAGACUUUAAAAAUUUUCCAUUAUCCUUGAAAUCCUAAUGUUUGUGAAAAACAUUAUUUUUAUUAUUUUUUAUUGUUCUUAUUUUUUUAGAAUUUUUUAAAAUAGGAUUUACUCAAAAUAGAAGUUUCUAAAAAUAGAUUUUUCUUAAAUUUGAAAUGAUUUGAAAUAUUAUUUUUUGUCUUGUUAAUUUGAAUAAUGCACAACAAAAAGCUUCCAGAUGGGAAGGGAGGUCAUAGGUGGACUGCUUAAAUCCCAAGCUUCUCUAAGAUAGUUUAUAUCUUUUUCACAAAACCUUUUAAUCAUGUAAAUACGCAAAUCUAUAAGACUCAAAGAAUAAGUGUGAACUAGAGAUAUCUUAAAAUAUAUUUUUCAAAUUAGCAAGUUCUUAUUAAAAUUCAUUUAUUUGAAACUAAUAAAAAAGUCUACAGAAAGGUAUAUCCAGGCUCUGAUACCAAACUGUAACAGCCUAAAUUUUCAUAAAUCUUGAAGUGUUACAAAAAACUCACUUUUCUUUUAUUAAAUUUGGAAAUUUAAAAAUAAAUUUCUUUAUAAAAAAAAUAACUGGAAUAUUCACAGAUUUAAGUUAAUACACGGAAAUUGUAUUUAAAAAAAAAAAAACAUAAUCACCUUACUAGUUAAAUAACAUGUUUUUGAACAAACUAAACUAAUAAAUUGAAAGAUAGAAAAUUUAAUUCUUUUCAUUUUUGAAUCCUCUUGGCAGUCCGCAUCACCAUCUCGCUACAGUUCUAAUCGAUCUGUACUAACUUGAAAAAUUUGUACACUAAUGAGUAUUAAAAAAUUCUCAAUAAGAUACAUGUAGUUUUCAUAGAUAAUAAUACAACAAUAAAAUCUACACUUUAUACCACUCUUCUCUUGUGGACUAUAUGUGUAACCAAGCAACACACCCAUCUUAGGUUCUCUUAGAUUUUCGAAGAAUUUUAUAUCCCUUUUUAAAGAACCCGAAGAUCCAUUGACAAUUCAUGCAUAAAUUACUGAAUAUAAAAAUAUAUGGAAACAAACCAGUUGCACAAAAGUAUCUAACUCGUUAUUGAAAGGCAGUAAAAAGAAAAUAAAAUUUGGCACAUGAAAAUUCUAAUAUUAUUUUUCUAUACUCCCCCUCUCUCUCUCUCUCUCUCUCUCUCUCUCUCUCUCUCUUUAUUUUCUCUUUAUAGUGAAAAUUCUGAAUUGAGUUUGUAUGCAACUAGAAUUGAAAAACUGUGUAAUACAAAGAAUUUGAAUUAGAAUUAGAAUUGGUUUCAAGUAAUAGAAUUUGAAUUGUAUUCAAGUAAUGUUUUAAUAUCGAAUAAAAAUCACGUGGUGUAAGAAUUAAAAGAGGAAGAGAAUUUUACUUAAUUAAUAUUGCAAGCCCCCACCAGCUCUAUUAACCUAUUAUUCUUUUAAUUGGACUUAACUUGAUGUAGUAUAAUUCAAAAUAACUUUUUUCUCAUGUUGAAAACUUCUAAUUAAUUAGGAGUUACAAAAAGAGUCCAAUAUCGAUACACUUAUUUUCUUUCUAUUAAAAUCUAAUUAUUUGGUCAAAAUAAAAUUUAAAAUAAACAAUUUCACUUUAGUUCCACAACUUUCAAAUAUAAAUAUAUAGCAUAUAGAACAAAUAAAUUUUAUUUUGCAAAUUUUUUGGGGCAUUACAAUGAGUCACUUGAUUCAUCGUUCAAGAAAUAUCGAGAGUUCCUAGUUCUUGCAAUAAUCUAGCAUAUUCGUAGCAACUUGCAGGAAUGAUUUCAUAAUAGAAGUACAGAUUCACAUAUGUACAAGCAUGUUAAUCCCUAAAUGGUUUCGUUACUACUUUACUAAUGCUUAGAAAUUUUUUUAUAUUUGAUUACAAACGUACCAUAAUCAUCACUGUAAAUAAAUAGUAAGAUAUUAGUUUGGUAAAUAUGACUAGAUGUUGAGUUACAAAGGUAAAAAACUUCGAAUAUUUAUUGUAGUGUUGUUGUCUUCUUCCUCACAAAAGCUAGUCUAUCUUCAACUUGAUUGUUCACUUCUCUAGCCAUCAUGGGAAUGAUGAUCGUCAUUGGCUCUAAUAUAUCCUUCAGACAACUAUGGUCGAAGUCGUACAUAUACAUCAUUGACUAAGCAAAAAUGAUCUUGGCUGCAAAGCAGCGUAAUUUCUCUACCACUGGAAUGUAUGGAUGUAUACAUCUCUUCCCUCCCUUUCCCUAUCUCGGCUCAACAUGACCUCUCACAUAUGCCAAGAUGUAAUCAAAUAACACAUACCUAUCUGGGUUACUGUCCCUUAUAUACUUUUCAGUAUCAAUAGUAUUCUUGAAAGCAUAUCUCAAAAUUACUCGUCCAGGACAAUCAAAUGACUUUGAAUAUCUCCUAGCCCAAUCUCAUACAAGUUCCAUCACCAACAUGCUACAUUAAUAAAAAAUAAGAAAUAAAUAUGAACAUAUACUAUGUGAACAACAUGCAUAGGAAAGUGUGCUUACGUCGUCUCACUUCCCUAAACAUGUCAAUACGUCAGUAAUAGUUGUAUUUUCCAACCUUAUAUGUGACUCUAAAAAACAUUAAGUUAGUGAUUGCAUAAAUAAGUUGAAUACUUCUAGCAAAAGCAUAAAUUACGUAACCGGGGCAAAUAUCGUCAAUCCAUCUUUCAAACACUUUCUUCUCGAUUGGGUCGACGUUAUGAUAAAAGAUUGAUGUCAUGUUGUCUACAAAUGUUCCUCUUUACAUUGGCUAUGAAGGAAGAAGUAAUGUACUAUGACGCAAUCUCGACCCUAUGUCUACCACCUUCGACACUGAUACAUCCACAAUAUGCUUCCUGCCCUUCUUUAUCCCUAUCGCUAUUGUCACAUCUUUCGUCCCUUCUUCAAUUGCUAUCGUUAUAUCCUUUAUCCAUAUUCCAUCACCAUCGUCACUUGCUCCGUUAGUUCUCCUACCACCAAUGUCACGUCCUCCACCUCUAUCGUCACCACCUCCACCCCAUCUUCCGUCACUAUCAUCACACCUUCCAUCACCUCCGUCAUCUUUUCAUCUUUCCCAUCCAUCAUAUCUACAAUCCACUUUUCUUUCAUCAUAUCUGCAAUCUAUCCUCAUCCAUUCUCUCGUCAUUCCUCGCUACUCUUGUUAUUUCCUAUCAUCAUUUCAUGUUUCCUGAAAGUCUCCCCAUAUGUAUGACGAUAGGGUUUUACCUACUCGCUUAUAGAGUGAAACAUCUUAUCUAAACAUCCUAAAUCUAAUCGUAGAACUCCUAGCUCCAACAGUAGAACUUGAGUUAGGUGCUAAUAAAGACGUAAAAUGUUAUAUUUUUCAUCCAUUAAUGCUUACAUUUUCAUUAUUGAUUGAUGCCUAAAUGUACUCAGUACCCUUAUAUUUUGAUUUAGGUUGCAAAUGGAUGAAUACGAUGAAAAUUGGAAGACACGAGCGAAAAAGGAUUAAAGUGAAAGAAAAUAAAGGUUCGAAGACCAAAUUGCAAAUAUCCAAAAGGUGAACAGGAAGGCAAGACAAAGAUGUGAAAGAAUUGAAGACUAAUUUGAAGAAGAUAUGAAGCAUUAGAAGAAGGAAAAACAAAAAAGAAAUCGAGAAAACGAAGUUUGAGGGCCAAAACCCAAAAGUUGGAAAGAAGUUAAUACUAUGCGGUCACAUUCUUAUGUGCGAAAAAAAAUCAAAACCUAAAAAUUUUUGAACUAUGCAAUCGCAUAGUUUUCUCAUAGCUUACUUCUGGCACGUAAUUUUCAGUUUCCGAAUUUAUGUAAAAUAUUUAUGGUAACAAAACUCUAAAUGCCUUUAUAAACCCUAAAUCGUCUCAGAAUGGAAGAGAAUGCUCCCCAUUCCCCUCUUCUCUAUUUUGCUAUUAGAAUUAUCAUGUGUAACUAAAUUCUUGUACUUGGUCGAAAGAUAUUGAAGCUUCGAAACCAUUCCAACUCUGAGAUCUAAUUUAAUUUCAUAGUUUAAUUCAUGUUUUGGGUAUUGAAAGUUCUUCUGUACUUACUUUCAUGAUUGUUGCAUUUAAUAGCUAGGAGGCCUACUUGUUUACUAUUUGUUGCAAUCUACCGCUAAGUUAAACAUCAAAUCCGUAACUGUUUGAUCUCUUUAACUUGUAAAGUAACCAAGGUUUAAUAAUUUGCUGCGUUGGAAUUGUUAAAUGUUAGGAAAAACGUUUAACUAAAUUAAAUACAACCUCUUUUGUUUGUGUUGUUUAGUUUCAUCGAU